UCUUCUCCAAAAGUAAGUGGGGUACCUGUCUAACGUUGACCUGAGAAUACAAGCGGUUUGAAAAUAUAUCAGCAUAAAGCGGGUGAGUUCUUAAGCAUGUUUUAAGUAAUGGAAAACUGGUUACUAAAUCUUGUGAAAAUACUUCAUUUUCAUUAGUAAAGAAUACAUUUAGUAUCGAAAUCCAUUGUCAUUGAGUUAUGAAAUAGAUAUGCAUGUUUUCCAAGAAAAUCCCACAUUUUCUUACAUGUUGGUUGGUUUCUUUAUGAAAAGUACGUUCCGAUUGGACAACCCUGGUCACCACCAGUAAGUAUAGUAGUUUUAUUAUUACUUAUAAUAAAACCAUAAGUUAUGUUUCUGGAAUACCCUUCAAUACGUAGGUAGGUAGUUUUAUUACAUAAAUAAAACUAUAGAAGAAAGAAAUCCGUAAACAAGGUUAGUUUAAUACAUAUUGUGAGUCGUAUAACCAUACUAAUUCGACAUGUGACCUCCUUGACAUUCCUCAGGCGUCGUUCGAUUACAAAAUUUGUCACCCCAGGCGUGCCCGCCUAACUGUAGCUAGCAGUUUAGGUGUGGGAUUGUCGGUCCCGAAUAGAUAUAUUCACAAAUUUUACGCUCUCCCUCCAGGAGAAUCUGGUUAUACUACCGAAGAGGAUUUAAUGGUACCCCGAAGGGCAUAACGAAGAUAAGUCUCACAAGCUAGUAUUAACUAAUUUAAGAAAUAUUUAGUUGUUAUCGAGUUUUGAAAUCGUUUAGACAAAGUAGAGUAUAAAUAAUUAAACACAAGGUAAUUAUUUAGCAUGAUACUCUAGAAUAUUAAUGGAUAGACUAAAUCUGACAUAGUUUAUAUAUUUGACUUUGCAUGAAAUUAGAAUCUGUAAAACAAGUAAUGAAGAUCCCAAAUUAUUCCCAUAAUAAUUUGAAAGGUUUGUUAAGUUCCCACGCUAUUUUGAAAACUAUGUAAUUAUAUUUAGAAAGCGUCCCUUAUGCUCCGCAUAUUACAAAAGGGAUAAAGGUAUCUAACAGUUUGAUAGAAAAUCAUUAUAAUUACAUCAGUUUUUAAGUUAUGAAAUCCUUUAUGAUUUACUUGUAUUCCCCCGUGAAAACAUGAAAAACUCGGAAAAAUGUAGGGUAUGAACUCACCUGCAGUGACUAGAAUGGAUGGAAGUGCCGAGUAGGAUGCUAGGUGUCAAUUGAGGUCUUAAACACACGCGAGGAUCCUAUGUAACAUGUAGUGAUACAUAAUUGUAUCUAAUUAGUUAUUUAAUCACUAAUUAAGUAAAUACACUCUAAUGCAUGAAAACACUUUAUUUCAAGUGUUAGGAGUGAUACGGGAUGCAUCUAAGGAGUGUAUGGUCUCACUAUGGAGUUUACUCCUCAAAUGGGGUCCUUGGGGGUGUAUACGGUUGAAGGACCAUAUCCCCCAUGAUUUUACGGCCGUAAACACAUGGGAAUGUUGGGUUUGGGUGCUCAAAGGUCUUAAACUAUUCAAGGACUUAUGCUAGACUCGAAUCAAGGGCUAUGGAAGUGAUUGGGGCUUGAAAGGGCCCUUAUUUGGAGUUUACGGUUUUUGAAUCCCUCCUUGGGGAGUUUACUACCAUAAACACAUGAGUUUACGUCCGUAAACUCAUGUUUGUCACUUUCUUUCAUGGUUUGGUGCUUCUAGGGUAAGCAUGCAAGGUUCUAGCCACUCAUACAAGUCAUAGAAGGUGUUAAGGGCAUUUUAACACCCUUAGAAGGUGUUUACGGUUUUGGGAGAUUCCCCAACCGUAAACUCAUGUUUACUCCUAUCAUUUCAUGUUUUGGGGUUCUUAGAUCAUUCAUGCAAGUUUCUUGGUCAUUAGCCAAGCAUUGGAAGGGUUUUGGGGCAUCAAACCCCCCCUUUUAGGGUGUUUACGGUUUUGGUAUGUUCCCAAACCAUAAACUCAUGUUCUUGGGGGGUUUUUGAGAGUUUAAACCAUGGAUUUGCAAGUAUACUAAGCUAAAAAACAAGGUUGGAGGGUUUACUUACUGUUGUGAAGCUUGAAGGGGCGUUUCUCGAUCGAAACCCGAUUUGUAGAGAGAGAGAGAGUAGAGAGAGAAAGUUCCUAGGGUGUGAAAAAGAUUGAAAUGAACACCACUCAACCCUUAUAUAUGGUUGAGUUUACGGCCAGGGUGGGGGUCCACCCAACAUCAACCGCAAACGGGGUUUUUCGCGUGAUUUUUUGUUUUCCGACACGUAUGAAAUUACGACAAUAACCCUAAUUGAUUUACUUAACUUAAGAAGUUAACGGAAAAACUUUCAAUAAAAAUAAAUUUUUAUUAACGGAGGUGGGUUACAAUGACAAAAUAAAUUUCGGGUUGUCACAUCAUCCCCUCGUUAGAGGAAAUUUCGUCCCGAAAUUUUGGAAUUAAUAUACGAAUCACAGAUUUAUAAAGAGAUGCGGAUAUUUCUGUCUCAUUGAAUCUUCGCGCUCCCAAGUGAAUUCAGGUCCCCGCUUGGCAUUCCAGCGAACCUUCACUAUCGGGAUGCGGCUUUGCUUUGUACAUUUGAUCUCCAAAUCCAUGAUUUCGUUUGGGUCUUCCACGAAGUUGAGGUUCUCGUUAAUUUCGAUCUCAUCAAGAGGGGUCACAAGGGUUUCAUCGGAUAGGCACUUUUUAAGAUUAGAGACGUGGAAUAUAGGAUGGAUGUUGCUAAGCUCUUGGGGUAAUCGGAGUUUGUAUGCUACUAGACCGAUCCUAGCAAGGAUCUCAAAGGGUCCAAUGUAUCCUUGGGUUUAAUUUCCCGUGCUUCCCAAAGCGUAUCAUGCCUUUCCAGGGCGAGACCUUCAACAGGACACGAUCUCCAACCUGGAAUUCAAAGGGUUUUCGUCGUUUAUUAGUGUAACACUUUUGUCUGUCUCUAGAGGCUUUCAAUCGUUCUCGAAUUUGGAUGAUUUUCUCGGUAGUCUGAUGAUUUCAGGACCAGUGAGAGUACUAUCGGGGACUUGACCCUUGGCUAGCUGCGUGUCCCCUACCUCGGCCCAGCACAAAGGGGAUCUGCACUUGCAACCGUAGAGGGCUUCGAACAGGGCAGCCUUGAUACUGGUGUGGUAAUUGUUGUUAUAAGAAAACUCGACCAAGGGUAAAUGAUUGUCCCACGACUUGCCGAAAUCGAUGACACAUGCUCUCAACAUGUCUUCCAAGGUCUGGAUAGUUCUCUCACUCUGCCCAUCUGUCUGAGGAUGAUAAGCCGUACUCAUGUCUAGCUUAAUUCCAACAGCCUUUUGUAGAGACUGCCAAAAUCUCGAGGUAAACCUUCUAUCUCGAACGGAGAUAAUGGACACAGGCACACCGUGCGGUCGGACUAUCUCUUGAAUGUAGAUUCGCGUGAGCCUUUCCAUCUUGAACGUUUCUUUAAUCAGUAGGAAGUGGGCGGAUUUUGUCAAUCGAUCGACAAUUACCCAAAUGGUAUCGUACCCACUCGGAGAUUUGGGUAAUUUGGUAAUGAAAUCCAUAGAAAUCAUUUCCCACUUCCACUCAGGUAUCUCAGGUUGCUAGAGCAGACUUGGGGGUUUUUGAUAUUCGACCUUCACCUUGGUGCAAGUCAGACACUUACCCACGAAGGUAGCGAUUUCGGAUUUCAUGUUUGGCCACCAAUAUAGUUUCUUGAGAUCCAGGUACAUCUUAUCAGAACCUGGGUGCACGGAGUAUCUAGUCUUGUGAGCUUCGUUCAUGACAACCUCCCUAAAACCUCCGAACUUUGGGGUCCAGAUCCGAUCCAUGAAAUAAUAGACUCUGUCUGUUAUGAUCUCAAGAUUCUUCUCCAUUCCCCUCAAGGCUUCAUUCGACACGUUCUCUGGUUUUAGGGCUUCCAACUGAGCCUCUCGGAUUUGUGCGCAUAAGUGGGAAUGGAUGGUCAUUGUUAGUGUCUUCACCUUACGGCCUAAGCUUUGUUUUCGGCUAAGGGCAUCUGCCACUACAUUGGCCUUGCCGGGAUGGUAGCGGAUUUCGCACUCAUAGUCACUGAGCAGUUCUACCCAUCGCCUUUGUCUCAUGUUUAAGUCUUUUUGAUCGAAGAUGUGUUGUAGGGUUUUAUGGUCGGUGAAAAUUGUGCACUUGGUCCUGUAGAGAUAUUGUCUCCAAAUUUUUAGUGCGUAGACCACUGCUCCCAACUCCAGGUCGUGAGUUGUAUAGUUGAUCUUGUGUUCCUUCAGCUGUCUUGAGGCAUAAGCAAUAACUUUUCCUCACUGCAUGAGCACGCAACCUAAGCCCUGACUGGAUGCAUCGUAGUAGACAAUGAAGUCCUCCAUCCCUUCGGGUAGAGAUAGGAUAGGUUCACUGCACAAGGCUCGCUUCAAGGUUUGGAAGGCAGUGUCUUGCUUUUCACCCCAACAGAAGGGUACACCUUUAUGUGUCAGAGUGGUUAGGGGUUUGGCAAUCUUGGAGAAAUUCUGAAUAAACCUACGAUAGUAGCCAACAAGACCCAUGAAUUGACGGAUUUCUUUGGGUAUCUUUGGUGCCGACCAAUUCUCUAUCGCUUUGAUUUUGGUCGGGUCCACGUGUAUGCCCUCCUUGCUUACCACGUUACCUAUGAAGGUUACUUUUCGAAUCCAGAAUUCUCACUUGGAGAAUUUCACGUACAACUUCUCCGAUCUAAGCGUUUCCAGUACUAAUCUAAAAUGUUGUUUGUGAUCUUCCUCGCUUCUGGAAUAGAAAAGUAUAUCGUCAAUGAACACGAUAACGAACUUGUCCAAAAAUGAACGACACACCCGGUUCAUCAGGUCCAUGAACACUACCGGUGCGUUGGUUAGACCAAAGGGAAUCACUACGAACUCGUAGUGACCAUAUCGAGUCCUGAAUGCUAUUUUGGAAACAUCACUCUCAUGAACUCGUAACUGAUGGUACCCUGAUCUAAGGUCUGUUUUUGAGAAGUAACUGGCUCCCUGAAGUUGAUCGAAAAGGUCGUCUAUUCGAGGAAGAGGAUAACGGUUUUUGACGAUCAACUUGUUCAAUUCACGGUAGUUUAUACACAUCCGAAAGGAUCCAUCUUUCUUCUUCACAAAUAAUACUGGGGCUCCCUAGGGUGAGGAACUCGGUCUGAGAAAUCCUUUGCUGAGUAGCUCAUUAUGCUGACUGGAUAACUCCUUCAUUUCUGCUGGCGCUAAACGAUAUGGCGCCUUAGCUACGGGGGUAGCUCCGGGGAUUAGGUCGAUGCGAAACUCGACUUGGCGUUCGGGAGGAAUUCCCGGUAGCUCUUCGGGAAAGACAUCAGGAAAGUUGCAGACUUCGGGGAUGCUCUCGAGGUCUUUAACUUCCUGUUUAUCGUUAAUCACAUGAGCUAGGAAUGCAAUGCAAUCCUUUCGUAGAAGUUUUUGGGCUUUGAUGCAUGAAAUGAUGUGAACAUUGGAACUAAGUUUAUCACCAUAGAUCAUGAGGGUUUCGCCGGAGGGAAGAUUGAGACGGAUAUCUUUUUCAUAACAAAUGAUAUCAGCAUGAUUGGGGCUCAACCAAUCCAUGCCAAUGAUAACAUCGAAGCUUUUUAUAGAGACUGGCAUAAGGUCGAUAGGAAAAGAAUGAUCGUUGAGACUAAGGGUGCAGCCUAUGAAUAUAUUGUUAGCGUUUUAUUUCUCACCGUUAGCCAUCUUGACGAUAAAUGUUUCGGUUAGCGGUUAAGGAUUAUGUUUAAGGAGAUGCUUGAAUGUAUGGCUAACAAAACUUCUUUCCGCACCAGAAUCGAAAAGGAUGCAUGCAUAAGAGUUGUCGAGAAGGAACGUACUCAUGACAAUGGUGAGAUCGGCGACAGCCUCCUCUUGCCCCAUUGCUAGAACUCUCCUAGUGUUGCCAGUUGUUGUUGCCUUGGGGCAGUUUCUCUUGUAAUGCCCGACCUCACCACAACCGUAACAGGCUUGACCGACACCUGCUCCGGAAGCUUGACUGGUUGGUUGGGCUGGUGUUCUGCAGUUUCGAGCAGUGUGGCCCUUUUUGCCACAGUUGUUGCAGAGCAUUUCACGGCAUGGGCUGGAAGUGAGAUAAUGGUAGUGGCGCUUGUCUCACCUAGGGAGGUUACCAGCAUACCUACUGGUAGGUGCUUGAGCUGCAGGAGUGGCGACAGGAGUAGUAGCAGCGUGAACUGCCACAAUUUGUUUCUUUUUAGAGGAUCCUUGCAAACUCUGACCCUUCCACUUGUUCCAGAAUUUCGUUUUAUUCUCACCACUCUCGUUUGUUGGCUUAGAAGUGGUUGUUACUUUAUCCAGGUCGACCUCGUGAACUAUGAGAGUCUGUGCUAGGCACUUGGCACUGUCAAAAGUGGUUGGCUUGGCAUACAAGACAUUCUCUUGGGUUGGGGGCGUCAAUCCCCAAAUAAACCUCUCAAUCUUUUUACUUUCCGGGUUGACCAUCCCCAGGAAGAGGAGGGCUAGGUCUUCAAACCUAGAAGUGUAGGCAGCGAUAUCAGAACCCUUCAUCUUUAGGUUCCAGAGUUCGUACUCCGGUUUCUGCAAUUCGCCCCACGGGCAGUACUCAGCAAGCAUGAGCUCUUUCAAGCUCUCCCAACCCAUAGCAUUGGCUACUGGCAGGGUUAGGGAUUUGACUCGGCCAUUCAACCAAGUCAAUGCUUUAUGGAUGAAAGUACAGGCGGCGAAUUUCACCUUGUUGGCUUCAGAACAAGAAUAGAUUUCGAAGAUAGACUCGAUCUUCUCGAACCAUCGAGUCAGGUCGAUAACACCUCCAGUGCCAUCAAAAUAUGUGGGUUUCGCAUUCAUGAAAUCUUUGUAGGAACACUCAUUCUGGUGUCCCUGACCACCUUCUGGCCCGCCAAAGCCGUCGAGGUUCAUUUGUGACAUUGCAACAGCCACUGCGGCAGUAACGGCUGCCUGAAACAUGAUAUGAUCAAACUGGGGAGGAGGAUUGUUGUUAUUUGAGCUGGGUCUUUUUCUUGGAGGCAUCUUGAUCUAAAAUGAUCAAAAAGGAGAGGAUGGUAAGUCCUCUGGAUUUGAAUCAAGAGAUAUGAAGCAAGAGGUAUUACAUCAUGAUAGAUAGAGUGUUCUACAAUGCGAAAAUAAAUAGGAAAAACUACCAAUGUAAGAGAAUUAUCGCUAAAGUAAAUGAGUAGUAACACUUGUAUGUGAACCUUUACAACGAAUUUGGCUCUUGAAAAUACUCCUAUAGUAUUUUAUGUUUUGUUGGGACGAUGGCUUGUUGUAUGAAUAUUUGGUAAGUUUUAGGGCCUGUUGUACACCACAGUCACUCCCGAACACAUGUUGUCCAUAUCUCGAAUGAAUAUAGUUGAUCAGGCUAUAUUAACCCUAGACAUGACUACAUAAUUGCCCAAGUUUAACCGCAGUGCCCAACACCUUUUUACUUUUGUUCUGUUCUACUCACGAUUCCCGUUUCUGGUAUAUAGGUAUUUUUGUAUACUUUUUGUAAAAUACUUGUAUUUUAAAGUAUACUUUUAGUUUCAGAGCGCUUCGGCCCUUUAGUGUUUAUAGUUGUAUACCAUGUAAAGUUUGGUAUACUUAGUUCACUAUAAACAAAAGCUCUGAUACCAAUCUGUCACACCUCCGAACCGUCAGGAAAAUAAUGGCGGAAACGUCCGGGGGUGGGAGACGUUAUUUAAAGUAUCACAACCAUUGUACAUAGUAAGCAUAGUAAACACAACCAUUACAAUACAUAAGAGUAUUUACAUUUGUUUGAAAGUAAAGAAAACAUAUAUUAAGUACAUUAGUAUAUGCAAAAAGUAAAGACAAAACUUCUAUAUGCUCCGUCUUCUCCAAAAGUAAGCGGGGUACCUGUCUAACGUUGACCUGAGAAUACAAGCGGUUUGAAAAUAUAUCAGCAUCAAGCUGGUGAGUUCAUAAGCAUGUUUUAAGUAAUGAAAAACUGGUUACUAAAUCUUGUGAAAAUACUUCAUUUUCAUUAGUAAAGAAUACAUUUAGUAUCGAAAUCCAUUGUCAUUGAGUUAUGAAAUACAUAUGCAUGUCUUCCAAGAAAAUCCCACAUUUUCUUACAUGUUGGUUGGUUUCUUUAUGAAAAGUACGUUCCGAUUGGACAAACCUGGUCACCGCCAGUAAGUAUAGUAGUUUUAUUAUUACUUAUAAUAAAACCAUAAGUUAUGUUUCUGGAAUACCCUCCAACUGACAAACCGAAGUUCGUUCCGUCGUCGUAACCCGUUUCGUCUUUUAAAAAUUCUUCGUCUUGAAUUGUUUUCGUUCGUCUCAAAAAUUAAGUCAUUUAUUUGAGUUUGUUAUUAUGACUUAAUUGUCCAAACGCAUUAGAAACUCGUGGAAACGUCCCAAAAUUUUAUUUGGAAAAAUUUUAGUUUUAUUCCGUCAAGUUAUAAAAUAAUUAAAUCGGGUACGACCAAAAGCCUCGCUUAUCAGUAGUAUCGGGUAGAAUUCCACCGUGUCCCAAACUUUGAGCAUAUAUAAAGUUGAGAGAGUCUCAUUUGAAGCCUUUCCACUCUCUCUCUACUCUCUCUACUUUCUCUCCCUAAAAACUCGAAAUCAAGCCAAAAUCAUCCAAAACAAGCUCCAAAUCAUUAAGGUAACUAGCCUAACUCUUAGUAUAACAUCUUUAGCCUUCAAUUUCAAGUUCAAAUCAUGAUUUAGGACCAUAAACAUGUGUUUACGGCCCUGGAACAUUCUUGGGCCGUGAACACAUAAAAGUGGGGUUUUUGAGCCUUAAAACCCUUCCAAUCGACCUCUGGAGCUAAGAUCUGGCUAGAUGGCUUAAUGGAACGAACUUAGAACACCUUAAACUUUACUUUUGAGGAGUAAACAUGAGUUUACUGCCCAAGAACAUGUUUGGGCCGUAAAAUCAUUAUCAUGGAGAGUAAACUCAUUUCCAAGUGUUUAAAUGCCACUUAAACACACCAAUAGCCUUGGACUAAAAUCUAGAAGCAACCACACACGAAUUAGAAGCCUAAAACUUGAUGAAAACAACUCCCUAAGGAGUUCACGACCGUAAACCUCCCCAAGGAUGGGUUCCUGGGCCGUAAACUCACAUACACAAGUGAAAUGAUGCCCUAAAUUCAUUCUAAGGCUUGUAAAAUUAGUUUGAAUCACAAAUGAUUAAUCUAGGGCCAUCAAAGCAUGAAAAGAAAGAGUACUUAGGAGCUUACGGCCGUAAACUCCUAGUUCACAGCCGUAAACUCCCAUUGAUGGUCUCUUUGGUGGUUAAAUCCAUUCCUACGCCUUAGAUUAAAUCUUAGCAACAUUUCCCAUGUGAUAUUUAACCAUUUAGCACCUUAAAACCCAUCAACCAUGAGUUCACGGACGUGAACUCAUGUGGUCAUAGUCUUAGGGCCGUAAACUCCCUAAGGAGUUUACUCUUGAAGAACAAACUCAUUUUCUAAGCCCUAUACGUCCGUAGAUGUCACCCGGGUCCCUCCAAACACUUGUAAUGAAGUGCUUUCGCGACUAGAAGUGUAUAUCCCCACCUAAUUAAUAAUUCAAAGCCUAAUUAGAUACUAAUGUGUAUCUUUUCAAAUUACAUAGGAAUCUUGUGCGUUUGCAAGCCCCGAACUGACGUUUAGGAUCCAAACUGACGCGUUCCUCAACCGGUGAGUUCAUACCCCUACCCUUUUUCAAUGUUUUUCAAUGUUUUCAGGGGGGAAUACAAGCAAAAGUACAAGAAUAUCUUGUACUUAAAUUCAUUAUUUCAUUUGAAUGGUUUCAUAAUCCAUACACUUUUAAGAACUGAAAACAUAUUAACAAACUGUUUGACUUACAGAGUUGCUUUUCAAACCGAUUUCAAUUCUUAUUAUAUAGUGUUAUACUUUAUACUUCGCAAUUGAUUGUUCACACAUUUACUGUUAGAAAUCAUAGAACUUUUGUGUUGUCCUUAAUAAACCACCCCUAGAUACGAGUGUGAAGGAAAGGUAUCAUUAGAACUUAGUCAGUCUUAGUUAGUACUCCCCUAGAUACGAGAGUAAAGAGUAAUCUUAAGAUUGGAGACACGUCCUUUGUAACACUUCCCCUUGACACGAGAGUGGAGGACUAUCCCUGUAACCAGAAUCUCCAGAAGGGAGAGCGUGACUUGAGUGUAUAGAUCUAUACGGGACUGAUUAUCCCGCACCUGGCUGCUAGCUACAGCCGAACCGAAAGGUUCAAGGGUGACAAAAGUCAUAAAAAGAUAUUGGCCCCGAUCCGAGUCAUAUCUAGUCUGAAGUAUGGUUAAGGAACUCGCAAUCAAGAUUACGAAAGCUUUAAACUUAUUUAAUAGUUUUAUAUACGUGUUAAAACUAAUGUACAUUUAAAGGCAAUCAAACUUUCAGGAAACUUCACACACACACUUUAAGUACGGUAGAUACUUGUAUGUUACUUUCAGAUUCGAUAACACUUCACAAACAUUUUAGGAAAAUAAGGGUUUUUCCUAGGAUAACUGAACUUGUUCUUAAUCAGAGUGUGUAAAAGUCAGAUAACAAACUGUUGUUAAUCAAACUAGGUAACAAACGGAUAACUAAACUUUACUUUUAAGAAAAUAUGAGAUUUUCUUGGGUUCGUAAUUUUUUCAGAAAACCGAAGGGAAACUUGUUCACUUUUCACAAAACAAAAUCACUUAUGAACUCACCAGCUUUAUGCUGAUUUUCAAACUGCUUGUAUUCUCAGGACCACAUUAGACAGGUACCCAGCGACCCCUUUUGGCGAAGAUGGAGUGCAUAGAAGACACAUCUGUAUUUUUGUUCAUAUGAUAUAUAUGUAUCACACUAGUAACAUUUUGAUUUCAAACAAAUGUAAUAACUAUAUGUAAUGUAUUGCUUUGUGUUUACUAUGCUUACUAUGUACACUGGUUGCGAUAUUCAUGAUGUCCUCCACCCCGGAACAUUUCCGCCUCCGGUUUCGGGUGUGACAGAUUGGUAUCAGAGACCUUGUUUAUAGUGAACUAGUAUACCAAACCUUACAUGGUAUAUGACUAUAAACACUAAGGGGCCUAAGUGCUCUGAACUAAAAGUAUACCUUAAAAUAUAAGUAUUUUCAAAAAGUAUAUAAGUGUACCUAACCAUCGAGAUCCAUAACUACAAGUAGAACAAAACAUAAGUAAAUGGUUGUUGUACGUUGCGGUUAAACCUGGGCAGUUAUGUAGUCGUUUCUGGGAUCAAUAUAGCCUGGCCAACUAUAUUCAUUCGAGACACGGCCAACAUGUGCUUGGGAGUGACGGUGGUAUGCAUCAUGCCUAAAACUUACCCAAUACCAAAACUACGAGUCGUCGCUGCAACGAAACAUGAAAUACUAUGGGAGUAUUUCUCAAGCCAAAUCCGUUAUAGAAAUUCUCAUUUCAGUGUUGUUCCUCAAUCAUUCCUUUAGCGAUAGUUUGUCUGCUUUGAUAACUCUUUCCUGCUUAUUCGCUUAAUGGAAUUCUAUAUCUGUCGUAAUGAGAUAUCCCUUGUAUUAUAUCUCUUGCUUCAAUUCAGAGGACUUAUGAUCCUCUCUUUCCUGGUUAUUCUAGAUCAAGAUGCCUCCUAGGAAAAGACCCAUCUCAAAUAAUAACAACCCUCCGCCACCACCACCUCCUCCCUAAUUUGGUCCUGUAGUAUUCCAGGCAGCUUUACUGCCGCNCAUGUCUCAAAGGAACCCCAGUGGUUCAGAAGGUGGUCCCCAACCCCAAAACCAAGAAGGCAGUCAGAGACACCGAAAAGAGGGUUCCUAUAAAGAUUUCAUGAACGCAAAACCCACGUCCUUUGAUGGCACUGGAGGUGUCAUUUCCCUCACCCAAUGGUUCGAGAUAAUCGAAUCUAUCUUUGAAAUUUGUGCCUGUUCAGAAUCUGAUAAGGUGAAGUUCGCCGCCUGCACCUUCAUCGACAAAGCCCUGACUUAGUGGAACGGCCGAGUCAAAUCCCUAACUUUACCUGUGUAGGGUCCACUAUGUGUUGCGUCUUGGGCUCGCUCCAUAGUCCAAUUUUGUAUCCGGAUUGGGCUUGUCCUUCCGUGAUUUAUUAAUUAGGGUUUAGUAUUAAUAGAUGCUUGCAUGCAUCUUUGUACGAAGCUUUUCAGUCGAUCAUUCACAGCGAUUAUAGUUUUAUCGAUUGUAACCCUAAAAGCCUCUACAGUGGAAGUUCUUUAGCGAGCUCUGCUGAGGCGUGAAUCUAUUGAAUCAUUCAAAAUAUAUUUUUGAUUCAUUCUCUUGUUUGUUAUUCUGUUUGCAUUAUUCUGAUUAACCUAUGUGAGAUCUAAACGAUCAAAGAGUUUUUCAACUCAGCAAUUGGUAUCAGAGCAGGAGACUGUGUAAUUCAUACACAUCUCCUCUGUGAAAGAAGUGAUUAGGGUCAAUUCCGUAUUCAUUGAUACUUAUUGAGCCGUCACUCCAUAAUUGACGUAUCUCAUUAAUUAUUCGUCUUGCCCUAAUAUUACGUAUUACAAAGUUUGAUCUUACAACAGGUUAAACGAUCAAGCAUGGACGAUUCUCAAUCCAAUCCGAUUAACAUCUCUAACAGCAUCGGAUCAAGAACCAAGAUCCCAAUCCUCUACACUCAAGACUAUGAAGUGUGGACGCACCACUUUGAAGAUUAAGUUAUUGGAUCGGAAGAUAACGGGUAUCUGAUAUGGGAAGCUAUCACAGUUGGCCCCUUCGCUCACUCAAGCACUUCAAAAAUCAUUAAAACUCAGAAGGAGUAUAAUGAUCUAUUAAAAGAUGUGAAGGAUGUCGCUCAGGACGAAAAGGAGAAGUUCCAAUGCAACAUUAAGGCAUUGAGACUAAUUCGAUUUGCCCUUCAAUCCGACACAUUUCGAUUAGUGAGUUCUUGUGGUACAGCAAAGGAAAUCUGGGAUCGGCUGCGAGAGCUGUAUUCCACAGAUGAAGAUCUGGAGCACUCGAUUCAGACCCUACUUUUCUCUGAAUUUGGAGAGUUCAAGCAAAAGCCAGAGGAGGUUGUUACGCAAACAUUCGAUCGGUUCAAUCAUCUUCACAGUAAGAUGAUCAAACAUGAUAUAGAAAGAAAGCUUAUCGAACAGAAGGUCACUUUCUUAAAUGGUCUAAGAGCCGAAUGGAGGGUGGUUGUGUCGACGAUUAAAGCGCAUGAGCAGUUCAAAUCAUAUUCUUUGGCGAAACUGGUGGGGAUUCUAAAAUCCCAGGAAAAGAUUGUGCUACAAGAGAAAAGUGUGGUUUCAAACUUGGGGUCUUUCGCCCUUCUGUCUAAAAGUAAGAAUGCAGCAGAAGAGGAAGAAUAUCUGAAUCUGGGAGACUACGAUCUGACAUCUGAAGACUAUGCAAUGAUGGUGUCAAAUCCCAGGAGGUUCAUCAAGAAGAAGUUCCCUACCAACAAGAACCGAAAUUGGCAGGGAAGCUACAGCUCUGAAAAAGUGAAAGAGGAGCCGAAGGUUGAAGAACCAAAGAAAGAAGCGAAAGGUCAAGCUGAUUCUGGUGUCAACUGUUUUUACUGUGGAGGGAAAAAUCACUACGCAAAAGAUUGCGUGUUGAAGAAAAUGGCAGAGAAAGAUGAGGAGAAGGAUGAAGAAGCAAGUCUCCUGAAAAGACUGGAGGAAAUUAAUAGGAAGAAAGCUACUACUAAUCUCUCUAUGAAUGCUCUUGUUGUACAGGAUUCGGUAGAUAAUGAUGAGUUCGGUGGUGUACAGGUGUCGUCAACCGACUCAGAAGAUGAUGAAGUGAGAAAGCCUACUCAUGGAAAGGCUUAUGUGGCGAAGAGUGGUGAUGCUGGUGGAAGAUGUUUGAUGGUGACAGAUGUAUCCCAGAUGAGGGGAUACAACACUGAUGGUGGAAACGAAGUGGCUAAGGAGCGAGAGGACGUGUGCUUUGCAGCGAAGCCUCUCAGUGUGCAGAUCAGUGAACUAGAUGAACUGAUCAAGAAGGUACUAUCCAUUUUUGUUUCGUUUAAAAUUCCACAUACAUCAAAUGAAAAGAAUUAAAUAACUUGAAUUCAAGAAUUUCAAAUAUGGAUAGUUGUUUAACUCAAACACGUGUCACGAAUUCUAAUACGACUGACCAAAUAAGCAGGGUAUCAUCCAAGAGUGAGGAGCGAAGAAUAUGGAUUGAGCAGAAGGAGUUGGAGCUGGUUAAGUCUAGGGAUGAAAAUAUCUAUUUGCAAAGAGAUAAUCUUAAGUUGUGAAAACAGAGAAAUGUUUUUUGUUUGAUUGCAAAAAGACUUUAUACUAACAUUACUCAACUACAUUUAGACUGUGAAAUAGGUCAGAAGAUAAAUCGCAUGAUUUUACCCUUCCUUGAGCUAAAGGAGGAUGAAAUUGAUGCUGAAGCAUACAACUGUGAAAGUGUUGUAUCUUCAGAUGAUGUAAAUCCCACGUAUAUGUUUGGUCUGGACAAAAUUGAAUCAUUUAUAAAGUCCAAAGACCAUAAGGACAUGCUUAAGAAUCUUUUGGAUGAAAAUGAUAGGUUGAAACUCAGAGCCGAAACUAUACAAAAAUUUGACUCAUUGAGUACCAAAUUAAGUUCGGAAAAUAAAAUUGAUGUUGAAAAUGCAUCUGAACUUAAUGAGGACGAUGACAUGAGUGAAAUCACUGUAGAAGAUGAGGUUGACUGUUCAGAGUUUAUUAGGAGCGAACCUGAAAACCAUAAAAACUUGAUUUCUAAAAAUUUUGUGGAAUUCGCUCGUCUAUCCAAAAAUAAGUCCCCAAUCCUUAAAGAAAAGGCCGUUGUAUACCAAAAGGUAAGAACCACUCCCAAUUAGGUUUAUAAGGUCACAGGAGUAACCGAACAUCAGACAACCAAACUCACUGCAAUGGUGAAUGAAGAUAAUGCAGAUGGCUGUGAUGAGUUUUUCUGGUCUGCACCGAUAGACAACGCAGAUGAAACAGUUGGUCUAUCGGAGUGAACAUCAUGGAAGGUCAAAGGUAGAUAUGUGGCAGAACCACUCAAUAAACCUACCAACUUUGGCGUGCCCAGUUCCUGUGGCACAAAAGAGGUUCCGGUAUAAUGCGUCUCUUCAACAAGCGAAACCUCUUAAAUGGAAAGUGAACCAGUUGUUCAGAAGCCGAAACAAAAGGAAAAUAUUCACAGGCAACCGAAACAGGUGAAAAAUCAAAAGCAGCAGAGAAAUCUGAGAUAUAAGAAAAAUCUCUCAGAGCGAAAGCAAUUCUCGUGCUCCCAAAAUCCUCACUAUAGUCACUUUGAUAGAAACUCCAAGACAAAAGGAGAAGAAAAUAAGAGUAAAAGGAGCUUAGGUCCAUUGGAUCAAAAGAAUCAGAGGAAGACUUUCAGGCCAUAGAAAGAACAAAACCAGAAAGAUAAGUUCGGUCCCGAAAGUAACGACAACCAAAAGCCUAGUUUCGGUCCACCAAACAACAAUAGACAAAGACCAGAGUUCAGUUCAUCAAGCUUUUACAGCAGAAGACUAGUUUCGGUCCAACAACCCACAACAACCGAAAAACUAGUUUCAGUCCAUCAACAAAUGGCAACCGAAGGUCCAGGUUCGGUCCCUCAAAUGAUCACAACCGAAAGGAUCAUUUCGAACCUCAAGUCAGGAAAGAUUCUCAUUCUAAUCUCUAUUCCUCUAAUUCUUCUCGUUCUCAUUCUUUUUCUAAGCCUAAUUCUCGUCCUACACCAAACUCACAAUCGACGAAGGAUUUGAAAGGAAAAAGUAAGAUUUCCUCAGCAAAUGAAGAUCGAAAGCAAGCUAAAGUCCAAACUCCUGAACCUAAAUCCAAAACACUUGAAUCUAACUCCAAUAAAAUCAAAGUGUUUACUAUUAACAGGAAAGAUGAAACAACCUUAAUAAAACGAACUUAUCUUGUUGAUGUUUCUCUUACUAUUCCUGUUUCUGUAAAAGACUCAUGAGGACCCAAGAAACUUUGGGUUCCUAAAUCUGCUUAAUUUUUGCAGGUUAUAAGUGACGAGCAGUUCGACGAAGAAUGGUACAUAGACAGUGGCUGCUCACGUCAUAUGACAGGAAGGAAGGAAGAGUUAAGGGAGUUUUGGUCCCUUCAAAACGGUGGUAACGUCAAGUUUAGUAACAACUCCUUUGGAACAAUAAAAGGUUAUGGAAUGAUAACCAAUGGAGACUUUACAAUCAGGAAGGUAGCUUAUGUAGAGGGGUUGCAACAUAACCUCAUCAGUGUGUCUCAACUGGUGGGAGGUACAAGAAGUCUCAAAGUAUCGUUCGAUGACGAAGGUUCAGAGAUAAUAGAGAAGAAAUCCAACAAAGUCAUUCUCAAGUCAGAACGAAAAGGUGAAAUGUUCCCUCUGAAUCUCAAACCAAUCAAAGGGAAUCCAACCAUUUGUCUAUUGUCCAAAGUCCAUUCAGAAGAAAGUUGGUUGUGGCACACAAGGCUCUCACACCUCAACUUCAAAGACAUCAACAAGCUAGUCACUGGUGGUCAAGUUUGGGGACUUCCACUACUUAAGUUCGAUCGAGAACACUUAUGUGCUGCAUAUGAAAUGGGGAAACAAAGUCGCCAAAGUCACCCAACAAUCAUAAACACCAAAGUUGUCGAACCACUUGAGUUGCUUCAAAUCGACUAAUGUGGUCCAUCAUGAAUCGAGAGCAUUGGCGGUAACAAGUACAUCCUUGUUAUUGUUGAUGACUUCUCACGAUUUACUUGGGUAUUCUUUCUAAAGCACAAAUCUGAGGCGACUCCCAAACUGAAGAUCUUUAUUAAGCAGGUCGAAGUGCAACUGAGAAUAGUCGUUCGAAACAUCAGGAGCGACAAUGGGCUGGAAUUCAAGAACAAAGAAUUCGAAGAUUUCUUAGCAGAAAAAGGCACCAGUCACAAUUUCUCAACCCCCUAUACACCUCAACAGAACGGAAUUGUCGAAAGGCGAAACUGAUCCCUAUGUGAGGCGGCCCGAACCAUGCUGAGUUUUGCCUCCCUUCCUCUAUAUUUCUGGGUAGACGCCAUUGCUGCAGCCUGUUUCACUCAAAACAGAUCUUAUCUCAACAACCGUUUCUCUCUCAGCCCCUAUGAGAUUAUUAACAACAGGAAACUGAAUGUCAAGUUCUUUCAUGUGUUCGUUUCGAGGUGCCUCAUUUUCAAUUCCAAAGAGCAUCGCAACAAAUUUGAUGUCAAAGCCGAUGAAGGCAUCUUUUUGGGAUAUUCUCUUACUUGAAAGGCGUACAGGGUUUUGAAUAAGCGUUCUAAACGAAUUGAAGAAACCUAUUAUGUAACGUUCGAUGAUAAUUACGUCAAGAAGUUGAAGUCUACCGAAGAAGCAAUUGGAUAGAUUUUCUCUCAAACAGGUCAAGUCACAGCCUCAAUCGCCAAUUUCUUUGACCAGUUCAUGGAUUUAUUUGAUGAACCUGAGAAGGCUACUCACUCUGAGGCCACGGCAGCAGACAACAAGAUGGAUCACCUUAAGAAGAUUUUCGAAGACGCAACCAAACAAAUGGGAGAAGACGAACCAGUUCGAAACGAACCUCCUCAAAGCAAUACUUCGGUCGAGGGGGAGAAUCAAUUCUCUUCAGAUCGACAAGACUCACAUUCCCAGGGGGAGGGUCCAUCAUUUUCAAUCGACGAUAAUACUCAUGGCAAGGGGAAGAAUCUAGUCUUUGUCAGAACCGAAAGACCAUCCAAAACCGAAAACCCGAUUGCACCCGAAAGUCCAGAUCAGCCCGAAAGCCCAGUCGAAGAAAGAUUUUUUGGUUCACAUCCAAACGAUUCAUCAUCGGUCGAGGGGGAGAAUUCCAAUAUGCACUAUGAUGAUAAUAAUCAAUCAGAGUUGGAAGAAAUGGUAAANGUUGCGUGAUUCUACUGUGUUAUGAUCCAAAUUAUCCUCCUCUCACCAAAUGGACCAGAGAUCAUCCUGUAUCUCAAAUAGUGGGUGAUGCAUCAAAAAAGGUUCUAACUCGAUCACAGCUGAAGGCGAAGCAAACUGUUCUUUUCUCCAAAGUAGAAUUCUGCAUGUUUAAUUCAUUCAUCUCCAAAAUAGAGCCGAAGACCAUCAAUAUUGCUCUCGAUCAUUCUGAUUGGGUUCAGGCAAUGCAAGACGAACUCAAUGAGUUCGAAAGAAAUAAGGUCUGGAGACUCAUUCCAACACCAAAAGAUGCCUUGGUUGUUGGUCUAAAAUGGGUGUUCAGAAACAAAAUGGACAAGGAGGGAAAUGUGAUCCGAAAUAAGGCUCGGCCAGUAGUGAAAGGAUAUUGCCAGGAAGAAGGAAUCGAUUACGAAGAGACAUUUGCUCCGGUUGCAAGGCUGGAAUCCGUUCGAAUAUUUCUUGCCUAUGCAGCACACAAGAAUUUCGAGGUCUACCAGAUGGAUGUGAAGUGUGCAUUUUUAAAUGGGGAACUUGAAGAAACCGUGUACAUAGAGCAAACUCUUGGUUUUGUAAAUGAAAAACAUCCAAAUCACUGCUACAUCUUGGAUAAGGCAGUUUAUGGUCUGAAACAAGCUCCUAGGGCAUGGUAUAGAUGUCUAAAUUCAAACAAGGUUCGGUUGACCCAACCUUUUUUCGUAAAAAGGAAGGUAACCACCUUAUAAUCGUUCAAAUCUAUGUCAGUGAUAUCAUCUUCGGCUCCACGAAUCCUAGCCUAACAGCUGAAUUCAGAAAGUUGAUGGAGACUAAAUUUGAAAUGAGCUCAAUGGGUCCGAUUAACUUUUUCCUUGGUUUAAAUGUUAGACAGGGACCCGAAGGCAUCUUUAUCAAUCAGGAAGCAUACACUAAGACUCUCCUUGCCAAAUUCGGCAUGAUGGGAGACCCAAAAGUCAAAGUCCCUAUGGCGUUCGGCACCAAGCUCACACCAUGUUUGGAAAAAUCGGCAGUCGACAUAACGCUGUAUCGCCAAAUGAUUGGUUCCCUGAUAUACCUCACAGCUAGCAGGCCCGACAUAAUGUUUGCAGUAUGUUAUUGUGCCAGGUUUCAAGCAAAUCCUUGUGAACCACACAUCUUGGCAGUGAAGAAUAUCUUCCGGUAUUUGAAGCGAACCACCUCUCUCAGUCUCUGGUAUCCCUCAAACUCAGGUUUCUUCGUUCAAGCCUACUCAGAUGCAGACUUAGGAGGAUGUGGUCUAGACCGAAAAAGCACCACAGAAGGCUGCCAAUUCCUAGACGGAAAGUUGGUUAGCUGGCAAUCGAAGAAACAAACAUGUGUUUCUCUAUCUACAGCUGAAGCAGAGUACAUCGCAGCCGCCUCCUGCACAUCACAAGUGAUUUGGAUCCAAAGCCAACUCCGGGAUUAUGGACUCAAUAUGAAAAAGAUCCCACUAUAUUGCGACUCAGAAAGUGUAAUUAGGAUCUGUCAUAACCCAGUGCAACAUUCCAAGACCAAGCAUAUAGCACUGAGGUAUCACUUUAUUAACGAUCAUGUGGAAGAUGGAAACAUCGAAAUUCACUUUGUUCGAACCACUGAUCAACUGGCCGACAUCUUCACCAAAGCCCUUCCUGAAGCAAGUUUCAAUAAAAUCCUACAAGGCCUAGGUAUGAUGGAAUCGGAGUCAGUACCAAAAACACAUUCUCAAAACUAAAAGUUGGAAGCGAAAUGAACCUAACGUUCGGUCUAUUUCGGGAUCGGUUCACACGGGAACCGAAAUGAACCGAACUCUCGGUCUAUUUUGGGUUCGGUCCCACUGCACUUGUUUUCGCUUAUCUCAAAAAGGUGAUAUCUUUGGUUGUAUACUUUUGUACAAUUGUUUUCCAAAAAUCCAAAAAUAAUUUUUUUUUUAAAGGAACCGAAAUGAACCGAGCGUUCGGUCCAUUUCUGGUUCGGUUUAAUUUUUUUUUAGUUUGUUUUGUUUUUCUCUUUACAAAAAUAUCAAAAUUCCAAAAAAAAAUUCUUUCUUUUGUCUCAACUUCUUUUUAUGUUAACAGUCUCUGGAAUAUCGAUGGGGAAGGUAUCAUUCUCACACUUUAUACUAGCUAAGUGUCCCUAGAAGCAUGCUGCUGCAUGUUGUCCAAAGCCUCAACUGAUUCUGAAUAAAGCCUUAAUGACUGGGUAUAUACAAACCUUGUCUUCCCAAUUAGGUUGCUAAAUUUAUUCUAAUCAUGAGCUACCUUACUCUUUUCUCAUAUGAGUUAAGAGUUUUCUGCUUGGUCAUUUCUUUUAUAGCAGAGGUACUUUAGUUUCUUUACAACACCUCAAACACUUUUCUCAAUCAUAUUUCGGUUCAUAAAUGUAACCCUUGAGACUCUCAGAAUUAACUACUAAGGUUUAUGGUUACAUAAUCUCUGUGUUUAUGAUCUUAACUUCGUGUCACUAUGUGCUAAGUGAAACCCAAAAUUCAAUACCCACUAUGCAUUGACGAUGAACAAUUAAAUUUGCUCUAGCUUUCACCCAUGAAUUGACGAAACCACCCAAGUGGUUGUACCCUGAAAUCUCUAUUUUUCUUUUUGUGUGAUUCUUAUGAAAUUGUUACACACCAUAAGAUUUCUUCCCAUAGAAUCCAGUUUUAAAUUGUUUUUGAUAUUUCACACCAAACAUUUCCAACAAGUCACUAAAUAUUGUCCAAACCUACUUGUUCAACAGACCACAUCGGUCUGACAAGUACUUCAUUCGGUUUCUAUCUUAUGUUAAGAUCUGGAAAUCUGAACUGAAGCGAAAGCCACCCUUUUAAGCCUCAUCAAAAGAUGUCUUUCAACACUUCUUAACAAGUGCUUGAUCGUACUUCAACGAGAAUCCACUCACACACUUUAAAGUCUCUCUUGACUUUGAAGGAAGAGAUUCGUGCCCGGGAUCCACUGUUUCGUGUCUAUAUUGACAUCACAAAUUUCCACAUAGAUGUUGCUUUAUUUCUUCAUCUUUGACACUCUAUGCACGAAAAUCUUUUUGAUUUUCCAAAAGUCUGGUUUGGUUCACUACAAGCUACUUUUCUUUAUGUAGCUCCGGUUCUUAAUGCUAUAUUCGCAAGGGGAUGUUGUGGUUUUUCUAAGUGUUUCUUUUUAUUUAAUGCCGACAGCUCAUUUUAAAGAUAAGAUGAUGACUCAGCCGGGAGACUAAGGGUUUCAAGUAUUCAAAAAUGUAUUUGAUGGGAAGGCGUGCUAAAUGGAAACGUUUUUUUCUCUCAUGCGUAAUCAUCGGGGUUGCUAACUGUCACGCUUCAAUCAGCUCAGGAACCGAUUCGCGUUUCAAGAAGAUUUGGGGGCGAAUUUUUCUCUCACCUUUAUACACGGUAUAAAGGGUUAAACCCUAGUUGUUUUACCUCUUUACUGCACCCAAAUUUCUGAGAGCAAACAAAGACGAUUUUCUUCCACUGUUCAUCUUCUUCUUCGUAGCACUCAACAAUCGCGGAUUCCUCCUCUGUUCAUGAAACCUCCCACAUUCUCCCAAUUAGACCCCAGCAAAGCUUGGUCAUUGAUCUCACCCCUGUUUCUUAUGAUGCCUUCACGUAUCCCAUAGUGGAGUGUCUCAAAUACUCUCCACUGGUUCUUGCACUGACCAAGGUCGAAACUAUGCCAAUGGAAUGUCUAUCCCAGAUUUUCUCCACAGCUCACUAUGAUAAAUCUGUUGAUCUUAUCUACUUUGACAUCCUUGAUACCAAAACCUCCAUCUCAAAACAGCAAUUUUGCUCGCUUCUAGGGUUUGAACAUGAUGAAUCGAGGAUUAAACCUGAUUCGAUCUCUGUGGGUCAAUUAUUCUCCAUGUUUUACAACAUGGGUUACACUGAAAUCCUUACCACUGUCACAAAGUUCAAGAAGUCGUGUCUUCCUCCACAAUGGAAUGGCUUUUUCAUGAUACUGUUCAAAGGUUUAUCAGAGAGGAGUGUAGGUUCUGAUGGGGCCAGUCGUCUGUUCAUGACGAUUCUUUAUGGGUUGUACAAUGGGAUCAACCUCGACUAUGGCUCAGUUCUAUGGCAGCAGUUGAUCCAAAGCCUCGCCUCUACUUCUCGACACACUGAAAUCUCCUAUGCCAGGUUCUGGAUGCUCGUCACCAAAUGGGCAAUGGACAAGAAUCAUGUCCCCAUUGUGGCCACUUCUCCUCUCUCCUCGAUUGGCGUCUUCCACACUACAAAGAUCAUAGUCACUGACCCUUCCAAGUUUCUCUUUGUUGGCUCAAUUCCUGAGUCCAUGUACGCUUGUGUAUCAGGGGAGAGCCGCAUCAUCAAGACCUACAAGGAGUUUCUUCCUUCGGGCCCCAGAGAGCUGACUCCAGAGAUGGUUCAGUCCAUCAAUGAUGCCGACAAACCUGCUCCCAGGGGCAAGAAACCAGAGAAAGGGAAAGAUAAGAAAGUGGUCAAAGGGGCGAAAGGCCCUUCUCCUAAAAAGAGGAAACCAACAAAGGCAGCCCAAUCACCUCCACCAAAGAAGAGGAAAACCUAGCCUAAACGAAAACUCAUUCUUGCUUCUUCCUCAAGUGAAUCAGAGGAUGAAAGUUCAGACUCGGAGGAGUUAUUUCGAGGCGACUCUCCUCCACGUUCGCCUUCACAUGAGGUACCAGUUACAACUAAACCUGUCUCUUCUCCCCCAAUCACUAUCUCUAUUUCCAUUCCUCCCAUAACUUCCUCAACUCAUAUUCCACCCACUUCUAUUCCUGUACCACCUCCCAUUUUUUCAGACGCUACAAAAACAACCAUUGGAGUUCGAACCAACAUAUCUGAUACGGGGGCUCAUACUUCAGCACCCGAACACACACCUGUAACCGAACAUACUUCCACACCCAAACCUACUCCCACAACCGAAUCUCCACCAUCGUUUUCAUCUCCAAAAUCACCCAGCCGAGACCGAGACAUUUCUAGGAGGAGAAGAUAUGACCUUCGAUUUUGUCUACUACAGUCCUUACCAGGUUCAAAGCGAUGAUGACGAUGAUGCACCUGUCACCAAAAAGCACAUCAAGGAACUUCAUGAGAAAAUUGAUAAUCUCAUCGCUUCUUCCUCCUCCUCUCGGUCCCAUAUCACAGAAGCUUCCAUUCAGGGGAUGGUUGAUACUUUCACCAAGGCACACGAAGCCUCUAUCAACUCUGCUACAGUUACUAUAGAUGCAUCCACAAAGGCCUGUGCUGCUGCGACCGAAAAAGUCGAAAAACUAUUUCGAGAUGCUAACAUCUUUUUAGAGUCUUUAAAGGGGGUUGCUGAAUCCAAUGCAGCGAAGGUUCAUUCGGUUGUUGAGAAGUUGGCGACUUCCUUUGAAACAGAAAAGCAUUACUUUGCCAGUCUUCGUCAGACCCUUGAAACUGACAACAAAACCUUCCAGGCAGCCGUUGAGGAUCGCUUGACUAAGCUCCAAGAAGACCUUGCCACGGAAAACUUAGUGAUGGAUGCGCUUGCACGCAAAACCACUGCGCUAAAAACCAAGAGUCUUCAACUUUCCCAAGCUGAGAAGGAGGUUGAUUCUCUUCGGUCCGAGCGUGCGGUGAUUAAGAGUUGUGUUUCGGAUGUCCACAGAGCCCUCUCAAGCAUCAUUGAAGCGCGUAACCCGAUUCUCAACUACUCAGUGAGGCGAACUCUUGUUGAGAAACUUGCUCCUGCCCUUGCCUUGCUCAGCAGAAUUGAGGGGCUUCUUGAGCACGUUGUCCAUCCAAAACAAGGGGGAGAAGGAGCUUCAAAGGGUAGUAAUCAAUCUCAACCGCCUCCUACUUCUACAUCAGCUCCAACUAAAGCAACCGAACCACCAACAACUGGUCAUGCAUUAGGUUCGGGUGCUCAAGACAAAGGGAAAAAGAUUCUUGAUGACAGUGAUGGAGACGAUGACAAAGAAACCAUUGCUGAUAUCUUGAAGUAACAUGCCAGGGACAAGGAACCAGACAUGAGUGCUCGGAUCGCUAGGGAGGCUGAAGCAAAUGAAAGGAGGAUGAAGGAGGCUCAUGAUCUCCUUGAAAGUCGAAAAACCCUAUUCCCUCCAUGGACACUUGAGAAGCUUAUCAAAGAAGCUAUCGAGUCCCCUAGCAUCCUCUGGCUUGAACCUAUGAUCUCUUUGGACAGGGUUAAUUAUAUUGACUCUCAGUUCGACAUGCCCUUGAGCCAAAAGGCUUUUAUAUUUCAUGCAUUUCCCCACAUUGCUGAAGUCCCUCAUCAUCACUCACGCAAAGGUCGAUAGGGAACUUAAUGAUUUCUAUCUGAAGUUUGCUCAGCCUCAGUAUCAGACGUGGAGUGCACAGAAGAUCGUCAACGUUCGGGUCCUCAAACCAUUUUGGGAGGGUAACUUCAUGAACGUCAGAUUAAUUGAUCCAAUUAUUGUUGUUUAGAUCAAUAUUCCAAAAAUAAAAAAAUAAAAAAAAAAUUUCAAAUUUUUUUUACUGUUCGUAUCUUGCAUAUUUCGAAGGCCCAAUCCAAAUCAAUUUCACUAUUCAUGUUUAAAUAUAUGCAUAGUGUUCGGUCAAAUAUCUUCAAUCAAUAAGUCAAUAUAGAAUUGAAUCCGUUUUCCACAAGUGGAGCCCAUUGAUUCAUAUAAUUCAAUCGACGUAUGUGUUGUUCGUUAGAUGAAUUGUACACCAGCUUUAUCUGGUUGUACCAUUGUGUUUGCUCUUCAUCGUUUCUUCUAUAACGCAUCUGUUUAUGAUCAAUUUCUUUUCAUUCUAUCGAUUUCAUUGAAUCGUUUUAAUAUUUGAUAAUUUGAUUCAAGUCAAGAAAUCUCAUGAAAUCUAAUUUGCUAUCGAUAUUGUUGAUUUGAUUCAAGUUGACUUUCUGAAGUCAAAGUCAAUGUUCUUGACAAAUAAAAAUUGAAAUUGAUUGAAAAGGAAGAUAAAUCGGAUUUGUAUUUGAUUUCGAAACCAACAUGAUGUUUAUGUUUGGUAAUUUGAUUGGAGUUAUAAGUUCGAUAUCUGAUAUUAAUUUGGAUAAGCUGAGUUGUUCAAUGGAUGGAUGUCGAUCAUCAAAAAGCGAAGGUUGCAAUUGUGUUUUUGAUUUCAAACUGAAUAGUUGUUGAUUGUUGAUAUUAACUGAUUUUGGUGAUCGAUUUUGGGUUGGUAAAUGAAAAACAAAGAAUCGAUGGUCGAUAGUUGUGAGUUUGAUUGAUGAUUUUGGAGUUGCAAAUCAAAGCUUAGAAACGAACUGGGUUAAGUUUUGAUUUCGAUGAGUAUCAAGCUGUGAUAACGAAUGGUUAAUUUUGAUUGUUGAUCGAUUCGAAAGGAAUGGGGUUAAUGAACGAAGGGUAAUUGAUCGAUUUUUUUGCAAAUUUGGGUUUGAUGAUCUAACGAAAAUUUGAUUUUGGGGUCUCUGUAAUGUUAAGAUUCGAAGAUUUGGGAAUUGAUGUUGGAUAAUGAAGGUUGAUGUUGAUGAAUAUUCGAAGGGUGAUUGAUUCUGAACGAAGGAUGAAUGUGUUGGAAUCAGUAUACCAUAGUUUGCUGUUGAUGAUAUGGGUUGAUACUUGAACGAACGAAGCCUUGGUUAUUUCAUCAAUGAAUGGAUUGCAAAAAGCGAAGGGUAAUAGAUGAAUGAAAAAAACGAAGAACUGGAACUGGGUUAACAUACGAAGGGUAUCACUGUUCAUUACUAUUCACAAUCAACUCUUCGUAUGCUUCGUAUGUUUUGCCAAAGUCUUCGUACGUUUGAUCACAAAAAGCUUCGUAUGAAUUGAAGAAGAAAAAUUUUCGAAUGUAGUCCUUCAAAUUUCGAAUGGUUGUCAAUUGGAAAAAGGCUUCGUAUGUAUGGCAUCAAAAAGCUUCGAAUGUUUUGGUCAAAUCACACAUUUUCGAAAACAGCCCCUGAACCUUCGAAUUUUUGUCACUUCGAAAAUUAAAGCAUGUUUCGUAUGUUUGACACUUUUCACCCAACUUCGAAAAUUGUUUGUAGCUUCGUAUGUUUGGAACUAGUCUUCGUAUGAUUUGUGCACAAGGGAAAAAUUUUCGAAGACGGUCCCUGAGACUUCGAAUUUUUGGCAGUUUGCACCUAAAUUCGAAAAAGGACUAUUUUUUGUUGAAAAUUGAAGAAAGUGCAAUUCAGGCCCCUUCAGUUUGUGCAAAUUGACGCUUUCUACCCAGCUUUGGAAAAGGGGGAGAGUUUUGCAUAUUUUGCUGUUUGGGCGCAAAGGGUCACUGCAGAAUUUUGAAAUUGACAAUUUCUACCCAUUUUUGAAAAAUUUUGUCAAAGGCGAUCCGUCAACGAAGCUAAAAAUUGAUUAUUUUUUGGAUUUUCGGGAUUGAAGCACAAAGUUUAUGCCACAUGUUAAGGGGGAGUUUUGACAUGAAAAAUUCCAAAUCCAGCACGUUCUUUUUCCAUUGGAGUUUUAUAAUCAAAUUUCGAUUAUAAAAAGGGGGAGAAGCUUUAUAUGGAAAUUCGAACUUGAAUUUUUCAUAUUACGUGGAUUUGAUGACCGAAGUGAUCUUGAAGUUUUGAAGCCACGAGAUGAUGCAAUUGGAAGUUCGGAAGUGACGAAUUCGAAAUGGGUUUGGAGUUAUUGAAGAUUUUUGAGGUGUGUUUUUAUGUGCAACUUUAGGGUGAUUAUUUGGAGUUUGGAAUACUCUUAAUCAUUUGUUGCUGCUCGAAUUGUAUGGUCUCACAUCCUAGAGCCCAAAUUGAAGAGUCAUGGAAGAAUUGAAGAUUGAAGUUCGUUUCGACAUGUGUCACCUUUGAGGCUCGAACCGCGUAGUGCUUGAUUUUGGAAGAAUUAAAGUGGGUCAUUCAUUCCUAACUUUGAGGGGGGGAAUGUUGGGGUGCGAAGUUAUUCAUUCAUGACUUUGUAAAUGUUUGACUUUUGUAAAACCCACUUGCAUGUGGUGCUUUAGCCUUUUGACCCAUUUGUAUUUUAGAGUGAGAGAGAGACAUGAAAUCACCUCUAUAUAAGGUGGGUUUGUCCACUUGUAGAGGUGUGCUUGAGAGAUGUAAAAGUGAGUGUGUAAGUGUGUGUUAUUUAUGUAGUCUAGAUCUAGAUCCUUUUUGUGUAACACCAUAUACAUUCAAUAUAUCUCUUAAUCACCUAAAUCACCAUGUUCAAUUGUGCAAGCUUUAAUUCCGCAUGCCAAACCAUGUUCUUUGUCACUACAUGAUCCACUGGUAUAUUCGUUUCAGACAAACUAUUCUUGCCAUCAUUCCUUGUCUCUUCGAUACCACGAAGAAAGUUAAUGCAGUUGGAUCCUGUAAGCCAAAGUAGAGUCUCACUCCAAUUGACGCAGAGGGGGAGAUUGUAGGGUCCACUAUGUGUUGCGUCUUGGGCUCGCUCCAUAGUCCAAUUUUGUAUCCGGAUUGGGCUUGUCCUUCCGUGAUUUAUUAAUUAGGGUUUAGUAUUAAUAGAUGCUUGCAUGCAUCUUUGUAAGGAGCCUUUCAGUCGAUCAUUCACAGCGAUUAUAGUUUUAUCGAUUGUAACCCUAAAAUCCCCUAAAGUGGAAGUUCUUUAUCGAGCUCUGCUGAUGCGUGAAUCUAUUGAAUCAUUCAGCAUAUUUUUUAAUUCAUUCUCUUGUUUGUUAUUCUGUUUGCAUUAUUCUGAUUAACCUGUGUGAGAUGUAAACGAUCAAAGAGUUUUUCAACUCAUCAACAUGUAGCCAACGCCAUGGGUUAGGAAGCCAUGAAGGAACUUCUGCUGGCUGAGUACUGCCCUCGGGGCGAAAUGCAGAAGUUAGAGUAUGAACUCUGGAACCUGAAGAUGAAGGGUUCCGAUAUUGCCACUUACACUUCCAGGUUCGAUGACUUGGCGCUACUCUGCCCGAGAAUGGUUACCCCGGAGAGUAAGAAGAUAGAAAGAUUCAUCUGGGGGCUGACCCAGCCAACAAAAGGAAACGUCUUAGCUGCGAGGCUGGAUACAUACGACAACGCCAAAUGCUUAGCACAAACCUUAAUUGACCAUAGUGAUGACCUUGAGGAAGCAGCUACCACUCCUGAGCCGACAGAGAGGAGUGGCGAGAAAAGAAAAAUUGGGAAGAAGAAGAAAAGUCAGACAUCGCAGGAGUCUUCGAAGAGGCAGAAAAUUGUGGCAGUUCACGCUGCUACUACCCCUGCAACUGUUUCUAUUGUUGGAUCCUCAGCUCGAAAACCUACCAGUAGGUAUGCUGGAAACCUCCCUAGUUAUGACAAGUGCAACUAUCAUCACCUUACUUCCAGCCCAUGUCUAGAGGUGUUUUGCAACAGUUGUGGCAAAAAGGGUCACACUGCGAAAAACUGCAAGACACCAACUCAAUCAACCAAUCAAACUUCCGGAGCGGGCAUUGGUCAGGCCUGCUAUGGUUGCGGAGAAGUCGGGCAUUUUAAGCGAAACUGCCCCAAGGCAGCAACGACUGGAAACACCGGAAGACUUCUAGCAAUAGGACGAGAGGAGACAGCCGCUGAUCCCACCAUCGCCUCAGGUAUAUUCCUCCUCAACAACUCUUAUGCCUGCAAUCCUUUUUGAUUCUUGUGAAAAAGAAAAAAUCUUUUAACUAUUCAUUCAGACAUCUUCUUAAUCUUAACUCUCCACUACUAAUUGAAACAUUCACCGUCGAGACAACUAACAAUGGGAAAGAGAACUUUCAUCGAUACACCCAUAGGUUGUACCCUUACUCUGAACGACCAUCCUUCAUCCAUUGAUCUUAUGUCAGUUUCCAUAAACAGUUUUGAUGUUAUCUGUGGCAUGGACUGGAAUCUCCUCUCUGGUCAGACCCUCAUGACCUACGGCGAUAAUUUCGGUUCCAACAUUCGUAUCAUUUCAUGCAUCAAUAACUCAAGAGUUUUCCCCGAAAGGAGUGCCAUGCAUUCCUAACCCAUGUGAUCCGCGAGAAAAAGGAAGUUAGAGACCUCGAGAAUGUCCCCGAAGUCUGUGACUUUCCUGAUGUAUUUCCUGUAUAGCUUCCGGGAAUUCUUUCCGAACAUCAGGUUGAAUUUCGCAUCUACCGAAUUCCUGGAAUUACCUCAGUAGCCAAACCUUCGUAUCGCUUUGCUCCAGCAGAAAUGCAGGAGUUAUCCAGUUAGCUUGAUGAGUUGACCGUCAAAACCGAUAUCCUCUUUCCUCAAAUAGAUGACCUUUUCGAUCCACUUCAGAGAACCAGCCACUUCUCAAAGAUAAACUUUAGGUCAAGGUAUCGUUAGCUACAAAUCCAUGAGAGUGAUGUUCCUUAGACAGUAUGCCGAUCUCGAUAUGGUCACUACAAGUUCGUAGUGAUGCCCAUCGGUCAAACCAUUUUCCUUGGUCAUGUAGUAGACAAUGAAGACAUACAUGUGGAAUCCUCAUAAGAUCAAAGCAAUAGAGAAUUAGUCGGCACUGAAGAUACCCUCAGAAACCCGUCAAUUCUUGGGUAUCGCUGGCUACUAUUGCAUGUUCAUCCAAAAUUUUUCCUGAAUCGCCAAAACCCUAACCAUUCUGACACAGAAAGAUGUGCCCUCUUGUUGGAGGUCUUACUCUGGAAAGACGUGAUACGCUUUGGAAAGCGCAGAAAACUUAUCUCGUAGUACAUUAGACCCUUCGAGAUCCUCGUUAGGAAUCGAUCCCGUAGCCUUCUCCGAGCUACCUUCAUAACUUACCAGCAUCCAUCCGGUAUUCCACGUCUUUAUUCAUAAGAAUUGCCUACCCAACAAAACCAUAGUAAUCCCUUUGAUGAGAUCGAUAUCAACCGAAGUUUGAACCCCACCCCCACGGAAGAACAAAUUGAGAAUUAAACGUACGAAACAAAGUCGCAUCCCGAUAGUGAGGGUUCGCUGAAAUGUCAAGCGGAGAUCCGAUUCCACUUGGGAGCGUGAAGAUCCGAAGUAGUAGAUUCAUCCAUAUCUCUUUUCAAUUCAUGAACUGUAUCUUAAUCUUUGAAUUUCGGAACGAAAUUCCCUCUAACGAGGGGAUAAUGUGACAACCUGAAGUUCGUUCCGUCGUCGUAACCCGUUCCGUCUUUUAAAACUUCUUCGUCUUGAAUUGUUUUCGUUCGUUUCAAAAAUUAAGUCAUUUAUUUGAGUUUGUUAUUAUUACUUAAUUGUCCAAACACAUUAGAAACUCGUGGAAACAUCCCAAGAUUUUAUUUGAAAAAAUUUUAGUUUUAUUCUGUUAUGUUAUAAAAUAAUUAAAUCGGGUACGACCAAAAGCUCCGUUUAUCAGUAGUAUCGGGUAGAAUUCCACCGUGUCCCAAACUUUGAGAAUAUAUAAAGUUGAGAGAGUCACAUUUGAAGCCUUUAAACUCUCUCUCUCUACUUUCUCUCUCUAAAAACUCGAAAUCAAGCCAAAAUCAUCCAAAACAAGCUCCAAAUCAUUAAGAUAACUACCCUAACUCUUAGUAUAACAUCUUUAGCCUUCAAUUUCAAGUUUAAAUCAUGAUUUAGGACCAUAAACAUGUGUUUACGGCCCUGGAACAUUCUUGGGCCGUGAACACAUAAAAGUGGGGUUUUUGAGCCUUAAAACCCUUCAAAUCGACCUUUGGAGCUUAGAUAUGGCUAGAUGGCUUAAUGGAACGGACUUAGAACACCUUAAACUUAACUUUUGAGGAGUAAACAUGAGUUUACUGUCCAAGAACAUGCUUGGGCCGUAAACUCAUUAUCAUGGAGAGUAAACUCAUUUCCAUGUGUUUAAAUGCCACUUAAACACACCAAUAGCCUUGGACUAAAAUCUAGAAGCAACCACAAACGAAUUAGAAGCCUAAAACUUGAUGAAAACAACUCCCUAAGGUGUUCACGGCCGUAAACCCUUCAAAGAUNCCCCCCCAGGAUGGGUUCCUGGGCCGUAAACUCACAUACACAAGUCAAAUGAUGCCCUAAAUUCAUUCUAAGGCUUGUAAAAAUUGGUUUGAAUCACAAAUGAUUAAUCUAGGGCCAUCAAAGCAUGAAAAGAAAGAGUACUUAGGAGCUUACAGUCGUAAACUCCUAGUUCACGGCCGUAAACUCCAAUUGAUGGUCUCUUUGGUGGUUAAAUCCAUUCCUACGCCUUAGAUUAAAUCUUAGCAACAUUUCCCAUGUGAUAUUUAACCAUUUAGCACCUUAAAACCCAUCAACCAUGAGUUCACGGCCGUGAACUCAUGUGGUCAUAGUCUUAGGGCCGUAAACUCCCUAAGGAGUUUACUCUUGAAGAACAAACUCAUUUUCUAAGCCCUAUACGUCCGUAGAUGUUACCCGAGUCCCUCCAAACACUUGUAAUGAAGUGUUUUCGCGACUAGAAGUGUAUAUCCCCAACUAAUUAAUAAUUCAAAGCCUAAUUAGAUACAAAUGUGUAUCUUUUCAAAUUACAUAGGAAUCUUGUGCGUUUGCAAGCCCCGAACUGACGUUUAGGAUCCAAACUGACGCGUUCCUCAACCGGUGAGUUCAUACCCCUACCCUUUAUCAAUGUUUUUCAAUGUUUUCAUGGGGGAAUACAAGAAAAAGUACAAGAAUAUCUUGUACUUAAAUUCAUUAUUUCAUUUGAAUGGUUUCAUAAUCCGUACACUUUUAAGAAUUGAAAACAUAUUAACAAACUGUUUGACUUACAGAGUUGUUUUUCAAACCGAUUUCAAUUCGUAUUAUAUAGUGUUAUACUUUAUACUUCGCAAUUGAUUGUUCACACAUUUACUGUUAGAAAUCAUAGAACUUUUGUGUUGUCCUUAAUAAACCACCCCCUAGAUACGAGUGUGAAGGAAAGGUAUCAUUAGAACUUAGUCAGUCUUAGUUAGUACUCCCCCUAGAUACGAGAGUAAAGAGUAAUCUUAAGAUUGGAGACACGUCCUUUGUAACACUUCCCCUAGAUACGAGAGUGGAGGACUGUCCCUGUAACCAUAAUCUCCGGAAGGGAGAGCGUGACUUGAGUGUAUAGAUCUAUACGGGACUGAUUAUCCCGCACCUGGCUGCUAGCUACAGCCAAACCGAAAGGUUCAAGGGUGACAAAAGUCAUAAAAAGAUACUGGCCCCGAUCCGAGUCAUAUCUAGUCUGAAGUAUGGUUAAGGAACUCACAAUCAAGAUUAUGAAAGCUUUAAACUUAUUUAAUAGUUUUAUAUACGUGUUAAAACUAAUGUACAUUUAAAGGCAUUCAAACUUUCAGGAAACUUCACACACACACUUUAAGUAUGGUAGAUACUUGUAUGUUACUUUCAGAUUCGAUAACACUUCACAAACAUUUUAGGAAAAUAAGGGUUUUUCCUGGGAUAACUAAACUUGUUCUUAAUCAGAGUGUGUAAAAGUCAGAUAACAAACUGUUCUUAAUCAAACUAGGUAACAAACGGAUAACUAAACUUUACUUUUAAGAAAAUAUGAGAUUUUAUUGGGUUCGUAACUUUUUCAGAAAACCAAAAGGAAACUUGUUCACUUUUCACAAAACAAAAUCACUUACGAACUCACAAGCUUUAUGCUGAUUUUCAAACUGCUUGUAUUCUCAGGACCACAUUAGAUAGGUACCCAGCGACCCCUUUUGGCGAAGACGGAGUGCAUAGAAGACAUGUCUGUAUUUUUGUUCAUAUGAUAUAUAUGUAUGACACUAGUAACAUUUUGAUUUCAAACAAAUGUAAUAACUAUAUGUAAUGUAUUUCUUUGUGUUUACUAUGCUUACUAUGUACAUCGGUUGCGAUAUUCAUGAUGUCCUCCACCCCGGAACGUUUCCGCCUCCGAUUUCGGGGUGUGACACUCCAGUACGUAGGUAGGUAAUUUUAUUACAUAAUUAAAACUAUAGAAGAAAGAAAUUCAUAAACAAGGUUAGUUUAAUACAUAUUGUGAGUCGUAUAACCAUACUAAUUCGACCUGUGACCUCCUUGACAUUCUUCAGGCGUCUUUUGAUUACAAAAUUUGUCACCCCAGGCGUGCCCGCCUAACUGUAGCUAGCAGUUUAGGUGUGGGAUUGUCGGUCCCGAAUAGAUCUAGUCACAAAUUUUACGCUCUCCCUCCAGGAGACUCUGGUUAUAUUACCGGAGAGGAUUUAUUGGUACCCCGAAGGGCAUAACGAAGAUAAGUCUCACAAGCUAGUAUUAACUAAUUUACGGAAUAUUUAGUUGUUAUCGAGUUUCAAAAUCGUUCAGAACAAAGUAGAGUAUAAAUAAUUAAACACAAUAUAAUUAUUUAGCAUGAUAGUCUAGAUUAGUAAUGGAGAAACUAAAUAUGACAUAGCUUAUAUAUUUGACUUUGCAUGAAAUUAGAAUCUGUAAAACAAGUAAUGAAGAUCCCAAAUUAUUCCCAUAAAAUUUGAAAGAUUUGUUAAGUUCCCACGCUGUUUUGAAAACUAUGUAAUUAUAUUUAGAAAGCGUCCCUUAUGCUCCACAUAUUACAAAAGAGAUAAAGGUAUCUAACAGUUUGAUAGAAAAUCGUUAUAAUUACAUCAGUUUUUAAGUUACGAAAUCCUUUAUGAUUUGCUUGUAUUCCCCCCCCCCCNNNNNNNCCCCCCCCCCCUGAAAACAUGAAAAACUCGAAAAAAGUGUAGGGGUAUGAACUCACCUGCAGUGAGUGGAAUGGAUGGAAAUGCCGGGUAGGAUGCUAGGUGUCAAUUGAGGUCUUAAACACACACGAGGAUCCUAUGUAACAUGUAGUGAUACAUAAUUGUAUUUAAUUAGUUAUUUAAUCACUAAUUAAGUAAGUAAAUACACUCUAAUGCAUGAAAACACUUUAUUUCAAGUGUUAGGAGUGAUACGGGUUGCAUCUAAGGAGUGUAUGGUCUCACUAUGGAGUUUACUCCUCAAAUGGGGUCCUUAGGUGUGUUUACGGUUGAAGGACCAUAUCCCCCAUGAGUUUACAGCCGUAAACUCAUGGGAAUGGUGGGUUUGGGUGCUCAAAGGUAUUAAACUACUCAAGGACAUAUGCUAGACUCGAAUCAAGGGCUAUGGAAGUGAUUGGGGCUUGAAAGGGCCCUUAUUUGGAGUUUAUGGUUUUUGAAUCCCUCCUUGGGGAGUUUACUGCCAUAAACACAUGAGUUUACGUCCGUAAACUCAUGUUUGUCACUUCCUUUCAUGGUUUGGUGCUUCUAGGGUAAGCAUGCAAGGUUCUAGCCACUCAUACAAGUCAUUAAAGGUGUUAAGGGUUUUGGGGGAUUCCUAACCGUAAACUCAUGUUUACUCCUAUCAUUUCAUGUUUUGGGGUUCUUAGAUCAUUCACGCAAGUUUGUAGGUCAUUAGCCCAGCAUUGGAAGGGUUUUGGGGAAUCAAAAACCCCCCUUUUAGGGUGUUUACGGUUUUCGGAUGUUCCCAAAUUGUAAACUCUUGUUCUUGGGGUUUUUGAGAGUUUAAACCAUGGAUUUGCAAGUAUGCUAUGCUAAACACAAGGUAGGAGGGUUUACUUACUGUUGUGAAGCUUGAAGGGGCGUUUCUCGAUUGAAACCCAAUUUAUAGAGAGAGAGAGUAGAGAGAGAAAGUUCCUAGAGUGUGAAAAAGCUUGACCCACUCAACCGUUAUAUAGGGUUGAGUUUACGACCAGGGUGGGGGUCCACCCAACACCAACCGCAAACGGGGUUUUUUGCGUGAUUUUUCGUUUUCCGACACGUAUGAAAUGACGACAAUAACCCUAAUUGAUUUACUUAACUUAAGAAGUUAACGGAAAAACUUUCAAUUAAAAUAAAUUUUUAUUAACGGAGGUGGGUUACAGUGAAAGAAUAAAUUUCGGGUUGCCACAGUNNNNNNNNNNNNNNNNNNNNNNNNNNNNNNNNNNNNNNNNNNNNNNNNNNNNNNNNNNNNNNNNNNNNNNNNNNNNNNNNNNNNNNNNNNNNNNNNNNNNNNNNNNNNNNNNNNNNNNNNNNNNNNNNNNNNNNNNNNNNNNNNNNNNNNNNAUAUGGACAUAGAGAGAGAGAGAGGGAUGGAGAUGGUUCGAUGGAGAAAAAAAUGUUGACAAUGAGGGAAUCAUUCUCAGCCACAUAUUUAUUCUGCAGCAAAAUACUUAGACGUACCGACGGAAGUGGGACUUGAACCUUCGACGGGCGGAGUGCAUCACAGAACAUAUAAAUAACAUGAUAUGUUUGACAAACAACAUGUUUGGAAAAUUUUGACAUGUUUUCUCUUCUUAAUAUUUAUUAGAACGAUAAUAAGAAGGUUUUUUAGGAAGUUUUACCAUUAGUCAUAUUUUUAUAUUUGCUACUGUCUUUAAAAGUUAUUUACAAAAACUGCGUUUUCAAAAUCAAAGCAUACGAAAACUAGUAUUUACUAAUUGUUGAUCCAAAGAACGUGUGUUUGUGUUUGUGUGUGUGUGUGUAUAUAUAUAUAUAUAUAUAUAUAUAUAUAGAGAGAGAGAGAGAGAGAGAAAGAGAGAGAGAGAGAGAGAGAGAGAGAGAUGUAGAUGGUUCAAUUGAUAAAAAAAUGGUGAGAGUGAGAGAAUCAUUCUCAGCCACAUAUUUAUUCAACAGCAAAUAAUUAGAGGCACUGCUGGAAGUGAGACUUGAACCUUCUAAAGGACGAAGUGUAACACAGUACAUAUAGAUAACAUGAUAUGUGUGACAAAUAAUAUGUUUGGAAAAUUUUGACAUGUUUUCUCAACAUAAUAUUUAUUAAAACGAUAAUUAGAAUGUUUUUAGGAGGUUUUACCAUUAGUCAUAUUUUUAUAUUUACUAAUGUCUUUAAACGUUAUUUACAAAAACUGUGUUUUCGAAAUCAAAUCAAACAAAAAGUAGUAUUUACUAAUUAUUGAUCCAAAGAAUGUGUGUGUGUGUAUGUGUGUGUAUAUAUACAUAUACAGAGAGAGAGAGAGAGAGAGAGAGAGAGAGAGAUGCAAAUGGUCCAAUUGAGAAAAAAAUGUUAAGAAUUAGGGAAUCAUUCUCAGCACAUAUCUAUUCUGCAGCAAAAUACUUAGACGUACCGGCGGAAGUGGCACUUGAACGUUCGACCCGAAGGACGGAAUGCAACACAAAAUAUAUAGAUAACAUGAUAUGUUUGACAAACAUGUUUGGAAAAUUUUGACAUGUUUUCUCUACUUAAUAUUUAUUAAAAUGAUAAUAAUCAGGUUUUUUAUGAGGAUUUACCAUUAGUCAUAUUUUUAUAUUUACUACUAUCUUUAAAAGUUUUUUUAGAAAAACCGUGUUUUCAAAAUCAAAUCAUACGAAAACUACUAUUUACUAAUUAUUGACCCAAAGAAUGUGUGUGUGUGUGUGUGUAUAUAUAUAUAUAUAUAUAUAUAGACUGAGAGAGAGAGAGAGAGAGAUGGAGAUGGUUCAAUUGAGAAAAAAAAUUUGACAAUGAGGGAAUCAUUCGCAGCCACAUAUUUAUUCAGCAUCAAAAUACUUAGACGUAUCAGCGGAAGUGGGACUUAAACCUUCGACCCGAAGAACGGAGUGCAACACAGAACAUAUAGAUAACAUGAUAUGUUUGACAAACAAUAUGUUUGGAAAAUUUUGACAUGUUUUCUCCACUUAAUUCGUAAGGACGGUACGACCUAGACCUCAGUUUUGUCCUUCGUAUUCCAAACCCCGAAGUCCUCGUGCGAAGAGUACUUUUCCUUCCGAAGCCUUGCCGCUGUAGGUUCAGCAGACCUUCCCGAACUACCACUCUUCCAACAGAUGAAGUUCAACCACAAAGGCUAAGGACGAAUAUAGCCCACCUAUCAUUAAUAAGUGUAUACGCUAGAGUGGUAUAUAAUCAUGAUUAUGCAGAGUAUGUGUGUUCUCGCCCUAUCUCCUGUUCCUUGUUUGGUUGUGGACCUAGGGUAGAGUCGCACAUCCGACCGUCUAACUAAUCUUAAAUUAUAUACGACUUGUAUACACAAGGUAAUGAUAAAUGGACCAAGUAUGAAUCCCAUCACGGACAUUAGGGCAGAGUUGCCAAGUCUACGAGUGUGUAUUCUGCCAAUCAGAGGAGUACAACCCCAGUAGUACUACUAAGAAAGCUAAUUUCGGGACGAAAUUCCAUCUAACGGGGGGAUGAUGUGACAACCCGAAAAUCGUUGCCUUGUAAGUUCAGCCAUUCAAUUAAAUUGUGUGUCAGACUCGUUUCUGCUACCUUUUAGCCUUGUUUAUAGUUUGUUUAAAGGUUCAAAGCUCAGUACAUUCAAGCAUUGGGUUUAAGGAUGUAUUAGCUAAAGUUCUUUGCGUUGAAAUCGAGCCGAACACUCCAUUUGAGGGAGUGUAUGGCCGUACACAUGAGUGUGCAGCCGUACACGUGUGUGCGGCUGUACACCCAUGUUGGCGGUACACCCCCUCCAUAAGAGUGAUAUCCCUUCAUCUCUAAGCCAUUUCCUCAGUUUCCAAGUCAAGAACAUUGAUUUCUCUCUUAACUAUCAUCGACCUUUCACCCCGAUCUUCAAGAAUGUAAGCCUUUCUUCUAUUUUUAUUUGUUGUUAUCCUUCUUAACCUAGUAACACCCUUUGAUUCCAUCCAUGGAAAUCAUCUUUUUACUAGGUCUUCAUCUUUCACCAAGAACACACACUUGUUCUUGGUGAUUGUGAACCCUCUUGAGCCUUCAAAUCGUAAGUACUUCUUCCCUAUGCUUAGUACAUGUUCGGAACACUUGAUUAACACCUUAAGAUCGUGCAAACCUCAAGAUACAAAGGAGUGUACGGCCGUACACCCAUGUGUGGCUGUACACCCCUCCAAACACCCCUAAAGGGCCUCCAAACUAGAAUCCUAGCUUCAACACUUGAUGAGCAAUUGUCCUACAAGCUUCCCUAUCACAAGAAGACGAUUUUGUGCACUUAUUACCAUGAGUGUACAGUCGUACACUGCAUGGCCGCAUAUUCCUUAUUGUAGUCGUAUACUCCCCUUAGAUGAAUCACAUGUGAUUCUAACACUUGGUCCAAGUGUUUCCUAGUCCCUAAAGGUGUUCCCUUUCAUAGGGUUGCUUCUAAACAUUAUAUCCAUGCCAAUAUAUGUCAUUAUAUGUCAUUUAGGACUCGUCUGUGUCUCGGGACUUCAUUCGUGGAACUUCUCAUCCUUACGUGCAUAUUCGUUUAAAUCACCCACAUAAGGUGACUUCAUACCCAUAUAAUCAAUAUUUUAAAUUGUUUUAAAUUCUUUUAAAGGGGGGGGGGGNNNNNNNNNNNNNNNNNNNNNNNNNNNNNNGGGGAAUACAAGUUGAACACAAUGAUAAUUGUGUAAAUGUUUGUUAUAAACAUCUUUCAAAAGAUUACUUAUGUCUUUUAUAAGUGAUUCAAAACGUUUCAAAAGCUCUUUUUAAGUUAUGUUACUUUAUAGUUUAUAAAACUCCAUUUUUAAAGUACAAUUAUAACUUAGUAAAUAAAUGAGUCAUUUCAAUAACAGUUCAAGUAAACAUACUAGUAAACUAUAAUGGGUAUAGUAUAAGGGUUCAGUUCAUACUAGAUGCUAGAACAUACUAUAAAGAGAAUCAGGGAGGUAGAUACAAUAUAUGAUAACAUAUGGAUCAUACAAUAAAGAGAAAUAAGGAGGAAGAAAUAAUACAUGAUAACAGAAAGAACACACUAAGACACUAUAUCAGAAAGAACAUACUAAAUGCUAUAGCAGGAGAACAAUACAAGAUUUAACUAUACCAAAAAUCACUAACUCAUUGUUCUAAACAAAAGGUGAUAGUAAUUGGGUAUACAUGAUUAUAUAACUUUAAUGUGAAUUUACGCGGCAUAGCAAUUUGUUUGCAGAAGUCGUGUUUGGUCCCCAGAAUCUCUUGUAGGGAGAGCGUAUAUUAUGGGUACUAUCCAUCACAUUAUGACCUUAAUAAAACAAACAUGUUUUAAACGUAAUCAGUACGCGCGUCAGGAUGCCAAUUCAAAAGACAGCUGUGUACUUACAUUUUCCCAUUACUUUCAUAUUGUGACAAAUCCACUUGAAAGUUAAUGAAAACUGUUUUAGACUUAGGAUAGUUAUAAACUAGGCGAAACUCACAUUUUACAAAUGACAAACAGAUUAGUCAAGUCUAGUACAUUCAGUAGAAAGGGGGCCUAUAAUGCUGACUUUAUGAUCCCUUAGUGUAUACAUCAGAGAUAUAUAUAUAUAUAUAUAUANUAUAUUAAUCGGAUCCGACAGACAGUAGGAUAUGUGCUUUCCGCUUCAUUUCAUGUUCCUUGUUUGGUUCUUGGCUUAGAGCAGAUUCACCCAGCCUACUGUCUAUUCGAUCUUAGCUUUAUAUAUAUUCUGUACACACCAAAUAAUCAUAAGGAGUACCAGGUAUGGCCCAUGUCAUAGGGCACUAAUUCAAUGCACCGUUUUCUAGUACAAAACAUACUUUUCAAUUAACAUUUGAUAUACGAAACUAGAAACUUACCAGUAACAGGGUUUAAUCCAUUUUAUUAAACCAGUAUAAACUGAAAGGACCUUAGGUGGUUAACUCUAUAAUACCUUAAUUUAGACAUCAAGGUUAUAUAUAAUUAAUUACCAAAUAAGUAGUUGGAUGUGUGUUUUCCGCCUCAUUUCCUGUUCCUUGUUUGGUUGUGGGAUUAGGGCAAAUUCACACAAUUAACUAUUUAUUCGAUAUUAGAGUAUAUAUAGCUAGUAUAAAACUAAGUGAUUAUAGAAAGAACCACUGUGGUUACCAAUUUUUACUAAAAGAAAUAAGGGUUUUUCUUAAGGAAUCCUUUCAUUAAAUAUAAAGGAACUAUUACAGUUAACUCCGUGAGUACCAAGUGAAUACACCAGGGUUAUAUACCACGAAGAUCUAACAAACAAUGGGAUGUGUGCUUUCCCCCUCAUUUCCUGUUCCUUGUUUGGUUGUGGGCUUAGGGCAGAUACACACAACCGAUUGUUUGUUUGCUCAAGGUUUUAUAUAACUUGUAUCCAUUUAGUACUCAUAAAAAGGAUUGUAGAGUCAUUUUUACUUAUCUUUCAUCAAAGCAGGAAAUAUAGGAUUUUCUGGAGGAAUAGGCGAACUUUUCUAAACAAAACUUACAACUUUCUACAACUUACGUCACUAAAAUCUUAUGAACUCACCAGCUUAAAUGUUGAUCUACUCUUUCAAAAUAACUUGUACUCUCAGGAGACCAGUAGACAGGUACACGCACUAGGAUUCAAAAGUUUAAGCAGUAUAGCUUCAAGUCUGGUUUUGUUAUUUACAUUGUAGUCUAUGUUUUGAGAACCACAUACUAUGUAAACACUUUCUUUUUAAUGAAAUGGUUGUUUAUUACUGUGAUUACUAUGAUGCAUGACUUGUGAUACUAAAACAUGACGUCCUCUGUCCUCGAACGUUUCUGUCGUUCCAUUUUGGGGUGUGACAGUUGUGGUGCUUGUAACAAUAACAUCUCCAAAUUCUCAAUCUGUUUUAGCAUUUUAUCAUUAGUUAAACACUUUCCAACCUUUACCAAGCUAUAUAUAUAUGUNUAUAUAUAUAUAUAUAUAUAUAUAUAUAUAUAUAUAUUAGUUAGUUGUGUUUAAUUUUACCAUAAUGUGACCAAGGUCAUCCAGAUCUAACUCUUCCAUGAUAAACUCGGCGUAUUCGUCUGCUUGGUUCCAAAUAUUCGAUAACUUGUUUGUUGAAGCACUAAGGCUAAUAAUUUGAAUCAUAUGGCUAUAGAAUAUCAAUAAUUAUUUGAACAAAAAUAUUCUAAUCUACCGCCCUUAAAGGCUUAAAAUUAUUUUCAUCUUUAUCUUGCUUUGGACAAAAAUAAAUACAUAACCUAGACCUUUCCGACAUCGUCUUCUAUGAUCCUACCAUUUGCGUCUUUAUCAAUCCUGCAUUUAUUUCAUAUGACUCCCACAUAACAUAAAUAAUUAGUGAUUAAAAUAAAUAGUAAAUCCUCACAUGUCAAAGAAUGUCUGUAGCCUUGUGUCUAAACUCCGAUCAAAUAUUUGGCUCCAAAACUCGUACAUUUGAUCUCUGUAAAUCGAGUCACCGUUUAUGUUCCUCCUUAGAGAUAAUGCAUCAAAAAGCACCUCAACGAAGUCUUGAGAAUCUUUGUUCAUUCCUAGUAAAUUAAUAUAAAAUAAAUUGACUGGCCCUACUUAUUGAAAAUAUUAAGAACAAACGUGCAUGGUUGGAGUUAUUGAUUACCAAUGCUUUCCCAAAAACGCGAUCGUGGCAGUAAGCCAUUGGUAUCCUUGGUGAGAUCAUCAAAUCAGUUCAGCAAGGAGACCCACGUCAUACCUUCCUCCUUCUUGCUAAUGAACUUAAGCCCCUUGAAAGGGACGAACUUAAUCCUAUUAAAUAAUAGACCACCCAUGGGUUUCCCUUUCGUCAACGGCUUCAACUAUUUAGACACUGCAACUAAGCCAUCGAUAUUCUACCACCGAUUCAUCACUACCAUCCAAAGUGAUUCAAUGUGGUCGUCAAUUUCAGAGUUCAUGUUAACACCCACAGCCUCGGAAUGAUCAUGGAGCAUGUUAUUCUCUGGCAAUCCAGUUCUUCCAUAUAUCAUCGGUACACAUGUUUUGCAUUUGCUUCCAAAAUACAAAACAGAUCAAAUUGAAAAUCACAAGGGGGUACAUUAAUUAAUACGAUAGAGACAAAUGUGAAGAACGAAGUCGGAGUUUAAGCAACUUUUGUAAAACAUAAAGGUUACUACUUAAAAAUAAAUCAAUUUCAAUGCAUAUUACUUACAAAUAAUCUUUAACCGGUAGCAAUAUUCGAUGUUCAUCAUUAUGAUUACGCUUCUUCUUUUUUUGCAUAUUGUUUUCAUUGAAAUAACACGAUUUUCAAUAUAAACAAUGCAUAACAUCAAAUGCAAAUCAGAACAUCAUAUGAUAGAAGCGCGAAGAUACAUAUAUAUAUCAGUUAGUAAAAGAAAAUGUAACAUUCGGAUUUUCAGGGUUAUUAUUUAAGUUAAUCUUAUGAUUUAAGGAAAGACUCGACGAGUUGAGGGUCCAACUCGCCGAGUCGAGUCGGGUUUCUCUCGCGGGUUAUUGAGUGAACUCGACGAGUCAGAGGAGGGACUCGCCGAGUAGGAGCUGGGCAGAGGAACCCUGAUUUUCGGGGUUUGGGACCUAUUUAAAGGCACUUAUUGCCUCCUUGACCCCUCCCCAUCAGAGUCUUUUUCCCUUGAGAGAAACCCUAGAGUGAUUGGUGAUCUAUAGAAGAAAUUGGCUAAUUGGAGGUCAUUCCUUGGAAAGGAAGAGCAAGGGUUUUGCAAGGAUCUCAGAGGAGAGUUAGAGGAUCAGGUUCAUCUUCAUUGCAAGCUCCAGAUCUGGUACAAACUCUUCCCUUCUUUGUGUUUGUGUAGAUUUCCUUGGUUAAUUAAGUUAGGGCUUGAAUCACAAUUUAGACAGGGUUGUGGGUGCAUCCAAACCCUUUUUCGAGUCAUGUGUAGAUCUGGACCUUGUGAGGUCCAGGGAACCAGAAAGUAGGCAACCAUGAAAGAGUUGUUUGGGAGCUUUAAAGCUAUGGAGAUUCAAUGGAGUCCAAAUGGUGUAUUGAGCAAAAUACACCAUGCAUGAGCCUCAAGUUCAGACCUUUAUGUGACUUUUGAGUAGUAGGAGGUUAGAUCUAUGAGUUUGGGUUGCAGAUCGGACCUUGGAUGGCUGAAUGAGCAAUCUGUUGGAGCCAACUCGCCGAGUCCAUGAGAUGACUCGACGAGUCGUAGUGGGUUUGACCGAGUAGCCUUAACCCAGUGUUGGAUCACCAAUUUAGGGGUCAACUCAAUGAGCUGAGUGAGACUCGGUUAUAGUUCAGAUGAUGCGAGGGGACUCGACGAGUCGCAAGGAUGCACUCGACGAGUAGGGUCGAGUGUGGACUGUUGACUUGAGUUGACUUCUAUUGACUUUGGAGUUUUGGUCAACAUAAGUAAUAGAGACCAUGGAGGGGUAAAAUGGUCUUUUACCCACUUCCCGAUUAGAGAGGGAAAAAGUAACUGUCGGUUUAAUUAGAGUUGAUAUUUCUAGUGUUAAUUAGAGAUAUUUGCCCUAUGUGUUAGGCGGUGGCGAGUUCGAGAUUCAAGUGUGAAGAUAACUGCUUUUUGCUUGUCAGGUGAGUCUUCUCACUAUACAUUACCUAGAGUGGUAUCUAUGUGUAGACCGGAGGGUCUUGUGUGCUAUGUGUAUGUAUGAGACUAUGUGCAUUGUAAUAUAUGUAUGUUAUGUGAUUGUAUAGACCGGACCGGAGGGUCCAACGAUAUAGACCGGACCGAAGGGUCCAACGAUACAGACUGGGCCGAAGGGUCCAACGAGCUAUGACAGGACCAGAGGGUCCAACGAGCUACGUGACUGGAGGGUCCCGCUAAGACACAUCGAUCGGAGGGUCGUACUAUAGUCUAUAGUGGCGUAUGUGGUAUUUUGGGGAACUCACUAAGCUUCGUGCUUACCGUGUUAUGUGUUAUGUGUUUCAGGUUUUUCUCAGGAUCAUGGGAUGACACCGGCUUGAUUAUACACACCAGAGGAAGAGUUAUGUUUUUGAGGAUCCUGGAUUAUUAUUUAGUUGAAUAUGUAGUUAUGUUUUGUAAUUUAAACAAAAUGAUGUUUUUACAAAAAAGUGUUUUAAGAAUUAAGCGAUUUUAAAUGAAAAUUUUUAGUUUGAAAAAUUACGGUGCUACAAGUUGGUAUCAGAGCCUUGGUUUGAGGGAUUCGGAUGCACCUUCGGGUAAAUCUGGACUCAAACUGAGGAUUUAAGAAAGUUUUCAAAAGAAGUAAAUUUCUAAAAACGAGCAAGAGUUUCUAAGAGAAUAACGAGAAGGAGUAGUGUGUACAAUCAGCCAAAGCCCGAACGGUGAUUUCCCAAAAUACUCUUACUUUUGUGUUAUGAGAUAUGUUAUGAGACAUCAUGCAUGCUAGAGAUAGGCUUGGUAGUUCAUAUUUUAGGACUAGAGAAGCCUAAUCUGUGAUGCCUUAGCCUAGGAGUUGCUGUUAUAUGUGAAGCACUUUCGAGUAUUUAUUGAGUGAGAGUAUCCAACAAGAAUCCUUGUAGAGAGGGAUUUGAGUAGAGGAGUAAUCUAGGAGAGAUACCUAGAUGAGCAUUUGUGGAACCUAUCGGGAGAGUAGCUAGAUACCCGCGGGGGGUAAACUUGCAGAGUUCGGUAAUACCUUUUGAGUAUGAGUAGAGCAAGUGGAGUUAUCACCUAGAGUGGGUUAUACGUGAUCAUUCGAUGCUCGAAUGCUGCUUGCUUCCUGCUUUGUGGAAUUCCCGAUGAUGGGAGUCAGCUAUCAAGUGAAUGUGACGAUAUUUAAGAGGUAGAUGACUGGCAUCAGAAGGAGUUUCUCAGCAGCUGAUGGCAGAGAAGUGUGAGAACCUAGGAAGAGCCUAGGACGUGACCUUAGUUAGAUGAGUACGCUGACAUAGUGGAGCAAUUCGUUGGGGAGCGAGCAGCGCAUGUUGAGAUUGGUGACUGAGAAGGUUGAGCAGCUACUUAGGGAAUCUAGGAUGGUUCGUGCAGAGAGUAUGGGUAGAUGUGGCAGGUAGUAUGGGCCCGUACUACUGAAAGCAAAGGACCCAUACUGGAUGCAGGGAGGAUUCCAGAGGUUCUAAGUAGCAGAUCCAGAGGUGAUGUCACGGUUCGAGUACCAUGAUUGGUAGCAGAUCGAGAGGUGAUGUCAUGGUUCGAGUACCAUGAUUGGUAGCAGAUCGAGAGGUGAUGUCAUGGUUCGAGUACCAUGGUUGGUAACAGAUCGAGAGAUGAUGUCAUGGUUCGAGUACCAUGAUUGGUAGCAGAUCGAAAGGCGAUGUCAUGGUUCGAGUACCAUGAUUUGAGACAGAUUGAGAUGAGAGAACAUGGUUCGAGCACCAUGAUUCAUAAGCAAAUCAGGGGGUGGCCACAUGGUUCGAGUACCAUGAUAUGUGGCUGUUAGUGCUUCUAGUUUUACCGGUUAUUCCGUGGUGAGUGUCUAGACCGAUGUCAGAUGUGAAAGAGUAUGGUGCCAGAAGGCCAGGAUGAACGAAUUCUAGUGGAGCAACCCUUGAUAGGGAAAUCGAGUUAACUCCGAGAACUUGUUAAUGAUAUACCAGUAGAGUCGCAAGACUCAAGGUUGAGCAGGGAUGGUGCGUUAUGGAAGAAUAUGGUAUGGGCUGGGCAACCAGCCGAUAGUGGAGAUGUCACUUUCUGUGACCCAAGUGGUGUUAUUUCUGUUUCCUGUGGGAGACGUAAGAGGUGUUCAGAUUUCGGUUUGAGUUUGGGGGUAAGCCCCAUGGGAUUGCACUAGUAGUGAUCUUCAAUCAUAAAGUAUGGUAGUAUGUUUGCCACGAGGAAAAGAUAUAGCUUGAACAAGGCGUCAGUGGGGACUGAGUUGGUCAAGGACCAGGAUACACCCUACUUGAGUAUAGUAGGGCAUGUGUUAGCUGCAACGUCGGUCGAUCAAAAGGAGAUAUCAUAGCGGUGGCUCUUAUUAUCUUUGAUGUGUAUCGAGAGUGGUAAUCUGGGUUCUGCUCUUAUCAUAAGUGUCAUGAUGGAGCGUGGGUCGAGGAAUCGAGAAUGAGGAAGAUGAUAGUUCGCUAUUUCCAGACUAAGUGUCGGGAUUGAUAAUGGACAGUUAGACAUUCCGGUGUUGGGAUGUGUGGGAUUCUGAUUGACCAGAGGCGGUAGUGAUGGGAAGUUCUGAGGAUUUCAUAUGUGAUUCGGAGUAAUUGAUAUUGCUCGAUUUCUAUCGAGAAGGAUCAUCUAGCGUUGCAUAGCUCUUUCAAAGGGUAGGUGAAAUUUUGCUAAUGAAGACAAUCUGUGGGAUAGAUUCAUAGUACGCCAAUUGGCGAGGGUUCAAACCCUAAGUGGGGGAGAACUGGAUAUUUUCUAAGGGGAUCUGAGAUUUGUUCAAGGGCGAUCAGGGGACUAGUUAUAGUGAGCUAUGUGUCGGAUACAUAAAUUCAUGGUUAUUUGAUGAUUGGGAUGUGGUGCUAAGUGAGUUAAUGCAUGUUGCACGUGUUCAUGGAGGAAGGACUGUCUCCAUGGCAGGGACCGUGGGUUGGGGACCCUGUGGAAGUUAGAUAAGGAUAGUUAUGCGGUUGAGAAUCCCCGGUUUAGUGUAUGGGAGGCUAUGUACGCUCGGGGAAGGUAGAAAUUGAUUUUUGGCAACUAAUUCCGGGCCGUUACGAGUAUGCUUGCUUGAGUUUUGAGCAUUAUAGGAGGGAGUUCUGGAUUGUUGUCAACAUGUUCUGAGUCAUUGUCGAUCCCUCCAUUAAGAGUUGGAAUAUUCUGAAGUUGCACGUUCAGAGAAAGAAGGAUAGUUACGAGAUUCUGAGAGUAUGCAUUGAGGUAUCUGUAUAUGAUGCCAUAAGUAGGAGGUCAGUGGUUGAGACAGGACAUCGUGAUGUUCCGUGAUGGUGUUCCGAGGUAUCCGAGUAUAAUGCCCCGAAUUCAAAAUUAUUUUGGGUCUUGAGUUUGAGACGACAAGUGGAGUAGCAGGUACCUACGGUUCCAGUGGGAGCCCUUUGGGUAUUGACAUCUAGAGGGAUUAUCUAAGAGUGUGGAUUCCAGCAAGGAGGGAUGUUUGGUCUUGGUGGUUGCUGUCAGAAUCUAUGAUGCAUAAAUAGGGACAAGUGUGUGAGUACCUAUCUAUGCUAGUCCGCGGAGCAUGAGUUAGUGGAUGUAGUGUGGUGUUGACGUGAGAAGGAGAUUGUGGAUUAUGAGAGAAAGGGUGUUGUGAUGCUACGAGGAGCCGUAGUACUCACUAGUCAGAGAAAGGGUGUUGUGAUGCUACGGGGAGCCGUAGUACUCACUGGUCAGAGAAAGGGUGUUAUGAUGCUACGGGGAACCGUAGUACUCACUGGUCAGAGAAAGGGUGUUGUGAUGCUACGGGGAGCCGUAGUACUCACUGGUCAGAGAAAGGGUGUUGUGAUGCUACGGGGAGUCGUACUACUCACUAGUCAGAGAAAGGGUAUUGUGAUGCUACGGAGAGCCAUAGUACUCACUAGUCAGAGAGCGGGUGUGGUAAUGCUACACGGAGACGUAGUACUCGCUAGUUAGCAAGAGGUUCUUAUGAUGAAGUACUCUUUGAUCAGAGCAUGACGCAGAAGAGUUUAGGCUUGGGUAGCCCUAACCUAUGAGUUUUGGGAGCCUGGUGGUCGUAUCAGGGGCGAGACAGGGGCCUCCUUAACGAUCAGGAGUCGUUACAUUCUGAGUUAAGGUGUGGUUAUCGUAAUCAGAAGGAAUUUGGGAAGUGAUGUACGCAUGGGUUGCGGGUCAUGAGUCAUGAGUUGAGUGGUUCAUUGGAACGAGUGGUUCCAAUUCUAGGUCGGACAAGACACUCGAGCUGAGUUUGGCUCUAGUGGUGCAUUGAGUAGGCAAGAUGAGAUUCUGGAUUCUGAAGGGGUUCCAGGAUGAGGGGUAUUGUUUGUCAUCUGAUGUCUUAGGCCUAUGUAGGUCAGUACUCGGGUACGGGGGGUACCGCGAGCUUCAUAGAACUAUGAGAAGUAUACGUCAGAAGUUGGGGUUGAGCCGACCAUCAGUUGGGAGUGUAGUAUUCACUCGGGGGUAAGGCGAACUUCGUGACUUGUGUGUCACAAUGAGCCGGUGUAGUUAUUGUGAGAAGGGAAUUAUUAAGACAGUUAGAGUUAAUGCAAUGGAUGACCAUGGGGGUUUGACUGUUGGGCCGAGGUUAGAUCUGGUGCGCAGUGUUAAAGAGGGAUAUGGGAAUUGGAGCUGAGGCUUACGAUUGUGAUGUCUGAGAACACUUCCAAACGAGCUUGGUUAUUCCCUUGUGUCCGAGGGCAGAGUGUUAAGGAUUCUUUGUUCGGAUGGGUUCUGAUAGCGGUUUAGUGGAUAAGCCCUAGCGAGGUGUGGACCCUUCCGCUUCUUGGGGCGUGAUUCAGAUCUUUAGCAUGAUUGGUAUGAGUGAGCGGUACCUGAUUGUUGGGUUCUUGUGAAAAUUAGAGGAUCAGUGGGUUAUCGGGGUUGACAUUCGAGGAGCGAAUACCAUGGUGAUCGCUUGUGUAGGUGAUCUGGCGGCGGGUUAGGCCACUAGAGUUUCCAGAGAUUGGGAAGGAGUAUAUUAGCAGCCGGAGAGUUAGUUUAGUUUUGGACUUGGGAGUUUCUGUUUUGUUUCAGGUGUCCAUUGAGAAAGAUAUCGAUGUAGUAUGAGAUUCUGUCGGUGGUGUCUUUCGUGUUGAUGAUCUUUGUGUGGUUACAGAAUGAUAUCGAGGGUGAAAUCUAAUUCAAGUGGGGGAGAAUUGUAACAUCCGGAUUUUCAGGGUUAUUAUUUAAGUUAAUCUUAUGAUUUAAGGAAAGACUCGACGAGUUAAGGGUCAAACUCGCCGAGUCGAUUCGGGUUUCUCUCACGGGUUAUUGAGUGAACUCGACGUGUCAGAGGAGGGACUCGCCAAGUAGGCGCUAGGCAGAGGAACCCCAAUUUUCGGGGUUUGGGACCUAUUUAAAGGCACUUAUAGCCUCCUUGGCCCCUCCCCAUCAGAGUCUACGUCCCUUGAGAGAAACCCUAGGGUGAUUGGUGAUCUAGAGAAGAAAUUGGCUAAUUGGAGGUCAUUCCUUGGAAAGGAAGAGCAAGGGUCUUGCAAGGAUCUCAGAGGAGAGUUAGAGGAUCAGGUUCAUCUUCAUUGCAAGCUCCAGAUCUGGUACAAACUUUUCCCUUCUUUGUGUUUGUAUAGAUUUCCUUGGUUGAUUAAGUUAGGGCUUGAAUCACCAUUUAGAUAGGGUUGUGGGUGCAUCCAAACCCUUUUUCGAGUCAUGUGUAGAUCUGGACCUUGUGAGGUCCAGGGAACCAGAAAGUUGGCAGCCAUGAAAAAGUUGUUUGGGAGCCUUGAAGCUAUGGAGCUUCAAUGGAGUCCAAAUUGUGUAUUGAGAAAAAUACACCAUGCAUGAGCCUCAAGUUCAGACCUUUACGUGACUUUUGGGUAGUAGGAGGUUAGAUCUAUGAGUUUAGGUUGCAGAUCUGACCUCGGAUGGCUGAAUGAGCAAUCUGUUGGAGCCAACUCGCCGAGUCCAUGAGAUGACUCGACGAGUCGUAGCGGGUUUGACCGAGUAGCCUUAACCCAGUGUUGGAUCACCGAGUUAGGGGUCAACUCGACGAGCUGAGUGAGACCCGUGUAUAGUUCAGAUGAUGCAAGGGGACUCGACGAGUCGCAAGGAUGCAAUCGACGAGUAGGGUCGAGUGUGGACUGUUGACUUGAGUUGACUUUUAUUGACUUUGGAGUUUUGGUCAACAUAAGUAAUAGAGACCAUGGAGGGGUAAAAUGGUCUUUUACCCACUUCCCGAUUAGAGAGGGAAAAAGUAACUGUCGGUUUAAUUAGAGUUGAUAUUUCUAGUGUUAAUUAGAGAUAUUUGCCCUAUGUGUUAGGCGGUGGCGAGUUCGAGAUUCAAGUGUGAAGAUAACUGCUUUUUGCUUGUCAGGUGAGUCUUCUCACUAUACAUUACCUAGAGUGGUAUCUAUGUGUAGACCGGAGGGUCUUGUGUGCUAUGUGUAUGUCUAAGACUAUGUGCAUUAUGAUAUAUGUAUGCUAUGUGAUUGUGUAGACUGGACCGGAGGGUCCAACGAUAUAGACCGGACCGAAGGGUCCAACGAUACAGACUGGGCCGAAGGGUCCAACGAGCUAUGACAGGACCAGAGGGUCCAACGAGCUACGUGACUGGAGGGUCCCGCUAAGACACAUCGAUCGGAGGGUCGUACUAUAGUCUAUAGUGGCGUAUGUGGUAUUUUGGGGAACUCACUAAGCUUCGUGCUUACCGUGUUAUGUGUUAUGUGUUUCAGGUUUUUCUCAGGAUCAUGGGAUGACACCGGCUUGAUUAUACACACCAGAGGAAGAGUAAUGUUUUUGAGGAUCCUGGAUUAUUAUUUAAUUGAAUAUGUAGUUAUGUUUUGUAAUUUAAACAAAAUGAUGUUUUUACAAAAAAGUGUUUUAAGAAUUAAGCAAUUUUAAAUGAAAAUUUUUAGUUUGAAAAAUUACAGUGUUACAGAAAAAAUGUCAAGGUGAAUCGUAUAUAAUGCAACUUAGAGAUAUGAUCAAUGAAAAAAUGUCAAGGGUAAUAACUUUUUUUACUAAAAAAUAACAAUAUUAUGAUAUUAAGCAACAAAAUGGAUUGCUAUUUUUUCCAUCCAAACUAAGAGAUAUGAUCAAUGAAAGUGGUGAUGUGCUUUCAUAUUUUUUAUUUGCCAAUUUCCCAUUCUUUUAUUAAGACAUUGUAUUUCUAAACUAUAAACUUGUUUGAUUUUUGGUAUGAAUAAUACAUUUACUUUUUUCCUUUAGGACAUUGUAUUUUCAAAAUAUAACAAUGUAUAUCAUUACAGCCAGCUUGUCAUAGGAGUUCCUAAAAUAACAUAAUACCUCCUUAGCAUUUCUAGAUCUUACAUAUGGACCAUUUCCAUUUAUUCUACACUAAUACACAGGGGCCAUUUCUGUAAAUUUUUACAUUUCCUGCUAUCACACUUCUGUAAUUUUGUCUGUGCCCAACAAGAUGUAAGAACAUGGGGACUUAUUUUUGUAACUUUAGCAUCACACAGGGACAAUUUCUGUAACUUUUACAACUACUUUAAAUUAAAAGGAAUUAUAUAAGUACUUUUACAACUUUACCAUCACAUUAGUUGGACAUACAUAUCGGUUGUUUCAUAAUUUAAAUCACAUUUGUUCAAAAUUUCAUAUAUAUAUAUAUAUAGAGAGAGAGAGAGAGAGAGAGAGAGUUCCCGACAAAUGCCCUACAAUCUAGUUGCAAACGGAUCCAAUUAUCUCUCUUCUCAGGUGAAAGAGGCUUACUUUUUACUUUCAAAUAGUUAGAUCUUAUUGGUGCAUUACUUUAAGUACAUGAUAUUUAGGUACAACCUGCCCACAAAACCAGUUGGAAUUUGACUUUUUAUGCAUUGUUAUUUAAGUAUGACCGAACAACAAAACCAAUGAAAGUGCAACCUAACCACAAAACAAGUUGGAGUUUGACUUCUUUUAUGUUGUUAUUUAAGUAUGACCUAACUACAAAACCAAUGAAAGUACGACCUAACCACAAAGUCAUAUGGAAUUUGACUUCUCUAUACAUUGAUAUUUAAGUAUGACCUAACCACAAAACCAAUUGGAAUUUGACUUCUUUAUGCAUUGUUAUUUAAGUACGGCCUAACUACAAAACCAAUGAAAGUAUGACCUAACCACAAAAAAAAUUGGAAUUUGACUUCUUUAUGCAUUGUUAUUUAAGUACGACCUAACCACAAAACCAGUUGGAAUUUGACCUCUUUAUAUAUUGUUAUAUAAGUAUGACCUAACUACAAAACUAAUGAAAGUACGACCUAACCACAAAAGCAGUUAGGUUUUGACUUCUUUAUACAUUGUCAUUUAAGUAUAGCCUAAAUACAAAACCAAUGAAAGUAUGACCUAACCGCAAAACCAAUUUGAAUUUGAUUUCUUUAUGCGUUGUUAUUUAUGUACGACCUAACUACAAAACCAAUGAAAGUAUGACCUGACCACAAACUGGUUGGAAUUUGACUUCUUUAUGCAUUGUUAUUUAAGUACAACCUAACUACAAAACCAAUGAAAAUAUGACCUAACCACAAAACCAGUUGGAAUUUGACUUCUCUAUAUGUUGUUAUUCAAGUACAACCUAACAACAAAACCAAUUGCAUUUUGACUUCUUUAUACAUUGACAUUUAAGUACGGGUUAACUACAAAACCAAUGAAAGUACAACCUAACCACAAAACCAAUUGGAAUUUGACUUCUUUAUACAUUGUUAUUUAAGUAUGACCAAACUACAAAACCAAUGAAAGUGCGACCUAACCACAAAACCAAUUGGAAUUUGACUUCUUUACUCGUUGUUAUUUAAAUACGACCUAACCAUAAAACCAGUCGGAAUUUAACUUUUUUAUACAUUUUUAUUUAAGUAUGAUGUAACUACAAACCUAAUGAAAGUAAGACGUAACCACAAAAUCAAUCUUAGUAGAGAUUAAUAAGAAAACUGGAUCCUUAUGCAACUCGAUUAUAGGGGAUUUGACAGAACUACUAUAACUUGUGUGUGUAUUGAGUAUUUCACACAUACAUAAAGACCCAGAGACAGUGAUACACACUUCAGACUAAAUGUUUAAUUUUUUUUUCUCCAAACUAUAUCAAGACAAACGAAAAGCAUAAUAUAUAGUUACCUAGGGUUUGGUUUUCAAAACUAAGCAAGGAGGGGAUGGACCCCUAUUAAUAGCAUCUUCAACCACACUUUAUUUUUUGUAUGCAAAAUAAAGUUUAGAGUGGUUCAUCUCCAACCCCACGUUAACACCAUGUUCACGAGUUCAACUUAAUAAAUAAAAGAAGAAAAAUAGAUGGAAGUGAGAAGAAAGUAAAAAAAAAAAAUGGUGUUCUUGAGUUUCAUUAAUGGAAGGAAAUGAAAGGAAAACUUUCCCUCCAACUCGGGAGGACAAAAUACUAUUUUCUUGCACUUUCCUUUCACUUCUUUUCUCACUUUACUUUCUUUCCCAUCCUUUCCUUUUCUUUGCAAAAACUCAGGAACUAGGCGUAAAUUCUAUUUUACACUUUAAAAAUAGAGUUCAAAAGUAAAGUGUGUUAGAGAUCGUAUAAUUUACACUCCAAAUUUAGAGUGUAACCAGUCAUUUCUCAAUUGACAGAGUGCAAAACAAAGUUGGGUUGGAGCCUUUACUCUAUUUUACACUCUGAAUAAAAUGCUGUGGCAAAAAUAAAGUGGGAGAUGCUCUAAGUCACACACAUAGAUGUCACACCAUAAAAAUAUACAAACACCUGUGAGAGCUUCACAAUAAACAUUCACAAACAGGUGCUUUUAAUCCGUAUAUAACUCAAUCACAAAAGAUUUGGUAACAGUCUGGGUUGCGUACCUGGUUGCUAGAAGACAAUCUGGAGUGCAAAUUGCGUUUCAGUCCGUGUGUUGUUACAUAUGAGCAAAUAAACUGCAUUGUUAUAUUUAUCAAAUCAUCUUUUAGUUCUUAGACUGCAUUUAUGUUAUCACAUUUGUAAUCCUAUGGACUCAAAUCAGCCUCUUAUGGAAAAAAUAAAAAGAGGUAUUGAAAGUACCAAAUGUUAUUACAUUAUAAGAUAAAAAUCACAAAAAGAACAAAACAUAAUUGCAUGAUUAAAACUUCAAUUGAACGUAUUGUUUCAAUCAAAAUUAAAAUUCAAUAGUUUAGGGCAAUCACAAAAUGCCAUUAGUCCAUUCUUUUCUUGGUAUGUAAUUGACAAAUUGUAUGCAGCUUACAUUAUAGCCGACAAACUGUAUGCAGUUUCAGACUUUUAUUUUUUGCAAUCGAUUAAUGAGUUACAUGAAAAAAGAUUUACGCAGUUUCAGCAAAAUUCUAUGAAGUUUCAGACUUUUAUAAGUAGUCAAUACAGUCAAAACAAAUAUUAUAUAUAACUAGAAAAUAUUUAGAACGAAUCUGAUAAAACUUGUGUUUAAGUGCUUGAUUUUUAGCAAUGACUGAGAUGGGAUACUUACGAAUUUCCAGUUACCGUUGACAAUAAACUUACGAUCAUCUUCAAUUAAAAAACGCGGCUUGAAGAGAAAGGAAGCUUGAAAACUCUGAAUUUAUUAGGUAAAGUCUACGGCAGAUCACAGAUUGAAUACCUAAAAGGGGAGAGAGAUGACAGAAGGCAUUGACGACCUAAAAUAUCGGAGAGGUGGGAACCAGGAGAGAGAGAGGGGGGAAGGAGACAGACGACUAUGAGAGAGUCACUAAUUUAGGCAAUUUUUUUUUCUUUUCUCCACAACUUUAG
rnacentral:lncRNA from 1 species